GUGUUUUCUAUUUUUUUUUCCUUUCGCGAGAGUCACGGUUUUGUUUCCGCGAGAGGCACGGGUGUGCUUUCACGAGAAUCACGACCGUGCCUCUCGUCACGGUUUUGCUUCCGCGAGAGGCACGGUUGUGCUUUCACGAGAGUCACGCCCAUGCCUCUCAAGAACAGAAAGAACGCGUUUUCUGUUUUUUUCCUUUCGCGAGAGUCACGGUUUUGCUUCCGCGAAAGGCACGGGUGUGCUUUCGCGAGAGUCACGACUGUGUCUCCUCGGAAACGAAAAAAAAGUGUUUUCUCUUCUUUUUUCCUUCCGCGAGAGCCACGGUUUUUGCUUCCACGAGAGGCACGGUUGUGAUUUCGUGAGCGGCACGGGCGUGCCUCUUUCGGAAAGGGGAAAAACCCAUGCUCCCGGUUCGAUUUUUUUGUCCGGUUUUUUGGCCGGUUUAUUUUGAUUUUUUACGCGAGAAAUCCAACAGUGAAAACGGUUUGAGAUUUGGACGCACGUUUUGAGAGAUAAAACAUUUUAAAUAAAUGGAUCUAUGAAAAAAAAAGGGAGAACUCCCAGGUUGCGAUAAUUGACGCGCUGCAUGUGAGCCACUUGUCGCAACCUGAAGAGUUAGAGUGAUCUUUGCAACGACUACUACUCAACUAGUGAUUUCGACGAAUACUCCUAUACGCCACACUUUGCGGCAAAAGGACGCUGCUUCGCACAGGAUACGCAGCGACUGGGCUAGCCCAUGGCAGGGUCCAUGUAUCAAGCGUGAUGAGAAGCCCAUGCUGGUACUGUAGCAAAACAAGAAAAAACGAAAAAGCAACACAUUCUAGAGGGAAUCGAACUCUCGACCUCCCGAAAAGAUGUGCUGCGGAUAGCCAUCUGAACUGAUAAUUCUAAAUGACUAAUGAGUAGCGCUGAUGUCUAAGAACAAGCCAUUAUGCCCGAACUCAACACCAUUGAUUUUAUUCGAACAUAUAUUGGAAAUUAUAAAGAUUUUUUUAAAACAUAAGCAAUGUUUCAAAGUUCGCACAUUUUUUGAACAUCGCAAACAAAUUUUGGAAAAUGUGAUCAUUUCUUGAAAAUUUGGAAACCUCUUGAACAAUUUUAAAACCUGAACUUUUUUGAAAUUCUUGAACGAUUUUUAACCCAUGAACAAAAUUUGGAAAACAGGAACACUUUUUAGGAUUCAAAAAAUUUCAAACGACGAACAUUUUUGGAAAACUACUGAACAUAUUAUGAAGUUGUGAACAAAUUCAGAAAAAACAGUGAACAUCACAAAGAUUUUUUGAACUUCCCGAACAAAUUUUGAAAUUCAAUAUUGCUUAGAAAAGGAACAUUUUUAAAAUUUUUGAAAAUUUUCAAAUCGGAACAUAUUUUCCAAUUGUGAACACUUUUUUGAACAUGCGAACAUUUAUUUAACAAUGUGAACAAAUUAACAAAUUUCAUUUUUUAUAAAAGUGAACAAAUUUUGAAAAAAGUGAUCAUUUCUUGCAAAUUCGGAAACCCUUGAACAAUUUAGACCUCUGAACAUUUUUUGAAAUUCUCGAACGAUUUUUAAGCCGUGAACAAAAUUUGAAAAACAGGAACUUUUUUUGGGAUUCAAAUUUUUUUCUAACCCGGAAUAUUUUUGGAAAACUCCUGAACAUAUUUUGAAUUUGUGAAUGAAUUUCAGAAAACGGGAACAUAUUUUUUCUAAAUUUGUGAACAAAAUUGAAAAAAAAAGAGAAAAUUGUAGAAAUUCCGAAUUCAAACUUUUUCUGAUGUAGAAAAAUGAAAAUGAAAAAAGAAUAUAAUUGAAAAAGAAACGGAAAAAGGAAAAUAAAAACUUGAGGAAGAAUGAAGAAAGGAAAGAAGCAAAAAAAAGAAAAAUCUGAAAAGUCGAAAAGCCAAUAAAACUGGAAGGUUCCCAAGACCAGGAUCCUGUAGCACGGUAAUCCACCAGCAGUGGGCCGGCCCAUGUCGCUCGCUCGCACCUGUUCCUUGUGCGUUCCCUCGACAGUUUGCCGCAAUUAGCGUCAAAUAGGAUAUUCAUGAACCAGGAACAUACAAAGUCGAGCGGUGUCAAGAGAUAGCAAUAAAGGAUCUUUCAGUGCAGUAGCUCAAAAUUCUCAAGGGGCUUACAUGGGCCCGUCAGCUGUGAUGAACGAAGGCCUCUCAUAUCCUGAAAUUCUUGAGACUAUGGCCUGCCACCAAAGUUUAACUUUAGCGGCUGAUCUUAAUAAAUCAAUGCUGAAGGCUUCUCAGGUGAAGGUAACAACUUAUUGCAAAGGUUUGCUCAAUGAUCAUUCAAGAGAUCAAAUAUCGAGCACUUGCUUUUAACUAUUGCUCUUUUGCUCAUGAAGGGCGCUGAUCUAAUGUAGAGACGCAUAUUUUCGCUAAACACACUCUUUCUCUUUCACAAGGGAGUCAUGUUUGGUUUUUUAAACCCAUAUGACCCUAAUGUGAUUCCUCUUAAACGUUCCUUUCGAUAAUAAAGCAAGUAUGUUUAUCCCUCAAAAGGAAAACUCUUGGAGAAUCUAGAUUUGUGUUGCUGGUUCAUAUUACAUUGUUCUUUUCUUGAUUACUAGUGUAAGGGCAUGUCUAAUGAUGCUAUUUUAGGAGUGACAUGUAGGAUAAAUGUUGAGGUGAAGGAGAAAGAAAUCAUAAGAAAAUGCUUGUCUUCUAUUAUUUAAGAGAUGAUCUCUUAGCUCAAUAUGUCUCACAAUGUUUUAGGAAUAGCUAGUUAUUAAAGAUAAAGCUAAGAUAUAAUCUAUUAUAGACAUACUUUUUUGUCAUCCUAAAUUACAUGCAAGACUUAAAGAAAAGAUUGUCUUAUCAAUCAUUAUACAUGCCCUAAAACCAAACGGAAUGAAUUAAAUUCGGUAAAUACAAAUGAAAACAGAUUUUUCUGUAGCACCGUGAAAAACUGAAAAUUUGUUUUUUUGGGGGUUUUGGUCUUCGGUUUAUCGAUUUUUAUGCCCACCCCUACUCCCAAAAAUCGGCCCAAAUUCAAAAAAUCAAGCAACUUACCAUUAGCUAAACUGCAGUUAUUUCUACUCCCACUAUUUAGAUUUUUUUUAAAAAUUAUAAUUUUCCAGAUUCACUAUUUAUAAUUUUUUAUUUUCUUUUAAAUUUUUCAGAUUCUGUUUGAUGAUUUUACUGAUAUAGAUAUUAAAACCAUUAAGCUAUGCGUGAAGGAUGGCUUGGCCUCGGUGAGAGAUCUUUUGCAAUUUUUUUAGAUGAAGGUGUGGAUUAUUUUUUAAAUGUAUUUUUUUAGAUGGAGAUGAGAACCUAUGGUAUUUUUUUAAAUGAAGGGUUAUGCAAAGUGGCACUCGCUGGUAGGCUGUUGUGAUAUUUUUUAUUUUUAUUUUUUAUUUUUUUAGAUGAAGGUGAGGAUUUUUUGGGUGAAGCUGAGGACUCAAGAACUUUAUGUAUUUUUUUUCAAUGAAAACGUGUGCAUAGCUUCCUCCCAAGCGGCGUCAAAGGGUGGCGCCUCAAUCACUAGUCGGACGUUGAGGUGUACACGGAAGGCUGGUCAGUAGAGCGCCACGACUACUUCACUCACUCCCACACACACAGACUCUGAAUUUGUAAAUGGAUCCAUAUGCAUACACUGCACGAGAGCUUGCUUGCUCCAACAAUCCAUGGCCUCCGACUCCGACCAUGAGCGCCUCCGCGCGCUCAAGGCCUUCGACGACACCAAGGCCGGCGUCAAGGGCCUCGUCGACGCGGGCGUCACAGCCAUCCCCGCCAUCUUCCACCACCCGCCGGACUCCCUAGCCGACGCGCCCCAUCACCAUGGUCACCACCAGUUCGCCAUCCCGGUCAUCGACCUCGCCGGCCUCGCGACGCCGUCGGGGCGAGCCUCGGUGGUCGGCGCGGUAAGGGCGGCCGCGGAGACGGUGGGCUUCUUCCAGGUGACGAACCACGGCGUGCCGGAGUCGGCCAUGUCGGAGACCCUCGCGGCGGUGCGGCGCUUCAACGAGGAGCCGGCGGAGGCCAAGGCGCCCUACUACAGCCGGGACCCCGCGGUACCAGUGCAACUUCGACCUGUUCCGGUCGCCGGCGGCCGGCUGGCGCGACACGCUCUACAUGGAGAUGGCCCCGGAGCCACCGCCGCGGGAGGAGAUCCCGCCGGCGUGCCGGGCCAUCGUGCCGGAGUACACGCGGCUGGGGCGCAAGCUCUUCGGGCUGCUGUCGGAGGCUCUGGGCCUCCGGCGUGGGUACCUGGAGGACACCGCCGGGUGCCUGGACGGGCUGAGCGUGGGCUGCCACUACUACCCGGCGUGCCCGGAGCCGCGCCGGACGCUGGGCACCGCGAGGCACUCCGACCCCAGCUUCCUCACCGUGCUCCUCCAGGACGCCUCGGCGGCCUCCAGGUGCUGCUCGACGACGACGAGUGGCGGCCGGCGUGGGUGGACGUGCCGGCGGAGGCGGGGGCGCUGGUGGUGAACGUCGGCGACUACCUGCAGAUCCUGUCCAACGACCGGUUCAGGAGCGUGGAGCACCGCGUGGUGGCCAACGGCGCCGGUCCCCGGGUCUCCGUGGCUUGCUUCUUCCGCGCCGACGCGUCGACGAGGGUGCUCGCGCCGAUAGUCACCGCCGGCGACACUGCGCGGUACAGGAGCACGACGGUGCCGGACUACGGCGCCAAGGGCCUGGACGGCGUCUCUGCGCUCCAGCGCGUCAGGAUCUGAAUGGAUCUCAUCUCACGGAAUCUGAAUGUAUCCAAGUCAAUUCUUGUGUGUGCUGAUGAUUCAAAUUCAUCCUAGCAAUGCAGGAUGCAAUCUCUGUAGUAGUACAUGUUUUCUUGAGGAUGGAACUGUGGAUUCAGUUGGAAUUGCAGAGCAGAUAUAAAUUCCCCUGAGAUGAGAUGAUUAUCAACAGAAACAGAAUUACAGACAGUAACAUGAACUGAAAAUGAAUAAACAGAACAGAACAGAACAUACAUCCCCUACAAUGGAAACAUGAACUGCAAAUGGAACCAACAUAAACAAAUGGCAAGUUAUUCACAGCGACUAGCACGACGGCGACGACGACGAUGACACAUGAACUAGUGGAGCUGACUUGAGAUGGCUGAUGACUUUCUUCAGCAUCUGCCAUGGCGGCAUUCAUCAGUGAGCGCCGCAGCUAUGUACAGACAGACAGAGAUACAUCAUGAUCAUCCUCCAUUACUGAGUUACUGACUGAGCUAACCAUCCAUGCAUCCAUCCAUCCACCAGUUAAGGGUCUGCGUGGCCCAUGAUGGCCUCGUCGCCGGAGUCGUAGCCCUCGGCGUCGCUCAGCUCCUCGUCGCUCUCCUCUUCCUCCUCCUCCUCCUCCGGGGAUAUGUCUUCAGGCUUGGCAUAUCUCUCACAAUAUUCUGAACAGAGAUUUUUUAGCUUAUGUUAAGGAAAUACUACUGUAUAAUGCACUCUAUGACAGAGAUAUGGAAUACACAAGUCCUGGUACAAAUCGGACCUUUGACUUUAUUUUCAUAGGCAUUCUUGUCGCGCAUCAUCAGCGAUGCCGCCUCGCCGUUCAAGGGGUCCGAGGGGUUCGGGUACAGGAGAAGCUGGGGCAGGAACACCUCAAAGAUAUUCACAAGGUCUGCAGCAGCAGCAGCAGCAGGAGGACAACAGCAAAAAUGUGGUGCUUCAGUUGGUAAAAUUCAUCAAAGUUAAACUAGUUUUGAUAUAUCGAUCGGAUUUACCGAACAUUGGGCUCCAGGUCUGGUUGAUCACAUCCAAGCAGACAGAACCGGACCUGAACAAAUCGACGGACAAACAAACGAUGAAACCUGAGAGUAUGUGUGUGCAGAGCAGAGAAUGGUUGGUUUGUGAAAUGAAGAAGAAAGAAAGGCUUACAUCUCAUCGACAUUGGGGUGAUAGAUCUUGUUGGUGAAGCCAAUGGAAGGGGAUUUGUAGGGGUAAGCUUCUGUGAGUUCAACCCUCACCUUCCACACACCACCCUGGUAAAUACCUGCAGCAAGGAAACACCAAAUAAAUUAUAAGUCCUAGAGAGCAGAUUGAAGGAUCAAAUUUGUUCAAAAUUACUGUGUAAUCUGUAUGUACAGAGUUUAAUUGCUACUACUUAUAUAAGCCCACCUCCCAAAAUAAGUGUUGCUCGCUGAUUUUGCGACACUUAUUUUGGGACGGAGGGACUAGUACUCAUGCAGUGGGGAAGAGAAAACUUUUUUCUUUUUUUUUUGCGGGGUUGGGGAAGAGAAAACUUGACAGCUGAACAGACAAGCACCAGUAGUUGUAGUACUAAACUUGCAAGAAUAAAUGGGUGAAAGCAUGAGUGACAUCAUUUAUUUUUGGGGGUAUUGGUCAAAUCUGUCUAUUUGUCUCCGGCAACUUGUUGGUUGGGCAGAGCAGAGCACAGAGAGAGAGAGAGAGAGGCCAUUGUGAUGUGGAUGAAGCACCUACCUACCGUACCCAUAUCAUAUAAUAAUGCAGGGUUAAUAAUAAUAAGUCCUCCCAUGCUCAUCUAGUCAGAUGUCAUAUGGAUAUGGAUGGGGUACAAUACAAUCGUUGGUUAUGUUGACAGAAACAAGCAAGUGAAGCAAGAAAGUCAUUUCCCAUCCAUCAGAAUGGCAUGGAUAAGCUGAGUUUCUUCAAAUAAAAGUGGAUUUUUUUUUCUUUUUGUUUCUUAUAAAAAGGAAAAGAUGAGAUAAGCAGCUAGAUGUGGAAGGGCAUCCAUCUCUCUACACGUUUCGGUUCAGAACCCUUUCCGUUUGGGUGAAAGCAGAGGUGUGUAUGACUAUGGGUGAAGAUCCCAGAAAAGAGAAGCUACUUUUUGUUUGUUCGUUCCGAAAUAAGGGGGACAGCUGAGUUCAUCCUCCAUUGUAUUGUAGGUCAGGAAGGACUUGAACAAACAGGCAGAUUUAUUUUGGGAACAAACAUGAGGGCAAAUCAAGCAAGCAAAGAAAGAAAGAAAGAAACAGAUACCAUCACGCACCUAAUCAAUCAAUCAAAGGAAGCAAAACAAGAAUUAAGUUAAGCAGGAGGAGACAGAUGGAGAGAGGGUGAGGGAGGAGGGAGGAGACGAACUGUCUUUGGGUCCGUGGAAGUGGACGAAGAACUCCUGCAUCCCGUCGUUGAUCAUAUCCACCUUGUAAUCGCUCAUCAUCCUACAAGAGAAGCAAGCUAGUAUUAAACAUGAAUCAACAAUCCUCACAAGAGACAAGGAAUGAAUGGAUGGAUGCACCCAAAGGCCAAAGGGGAGGAGGACUGACAACUUCAUCAGAUCCAUCUCCCUGCGCUUGCUUGGGGAAGACAUCUCACUUCUUCUUCCUCCUUGCUCUGCUUCCCCUGCCUGUCUGUUUGUAGGUGGUUCUUUCUCUCUUUGCACAGAGAGAGAGAGAGAGAGAGAGGGGGGACAGGUGGUGUGUAUGGGAGCAAGCACAGGGCUAUAAUAUUCCAGAAAAGAGGAGUGGUGGCAUGAGGGCCAAUCUUAUCUUGCACACAUCAAUAAAUACUACUCCCUCUUGUUCAGAAAUACUGAAGUACUUGUCAAAGAAAUGAAUAGAAAUGGCUUAGCUAGAACUAAAAUACGUCUACUCCCUCCGUCUGGAAAACUUCGUCCGAGGAAAAAAUGAUGUAUCUAGUAUUAAACUACGUCCAGAUGCAUCCAUGGUUUGGAUGAAGGAAGAACUAUAUAAAAUAAUAUACUCCUACGUUGUACUAGUAGUUUAUAAGAGUACGUACACUCGAUCGUCUGCAAGAAAAUAAAUAAAAUGGUUAGGUUACGUUUCGUCCACACCACGGAGACAGAGCAAUGAUCACGCACUUCCUUUUCAAUUUUAUUUUAAAUCUUUAUCUGGUUGAAAUAAAAGUGCAACUUGUUUUGUUGCCGAAAGAGACUAGUACUCCUACUAGUAGAGUAGAGGAUGGAUGGACGAGUCUGGUGACAGGGACUACUUGUUGUGCACUGGAGUAUCUUUUUCUGGACAUGGAAAUCAGCCGAUGCACACGGAUGGCUCUAGCGUCUUGUUUUUGCUAAAUGGCCCCUCAUGAAAAUUAAUUCAUCCACCGACCUUCCCAAAAACUUAUUUCGUCAUCUGGCCCCUCGCAUUCACGCCAUCAUGUGGCUAAAUUACACGUGAGGCCACCGUCACCCAAGACGUGUCUGACCGGCCUGGUCCACGGUUGUCGGUGGCGUCGCCAGCAUGGCACCUCCCUCUCCCGCUUGAUGGAAGGACACGAUACUACCUACAACCCCUGCUUUUAGAUGGUCGGCCAUCACGAGAGUCAUCAGCAUGUCUCGUUUCCUGCUGGAUGAGCUGAUUUAAGCCCCAAACACCCUAUAAAUAGGCGUCAUCAAUUUAGCGUUCAUAAGUUGUAGAUUCGUCGGACGGUAUGUCGCAUAUAUGAUGGCACUAUAUAGAACCAGGCCAUUAAACGUUUUACCUUGUAAAGUCCACACGCCCUCUAGUUUGGCGUGGUAAGGCCUCGUGUCAACCGCCUAGCCAUUCAAUAUGAUCGUUAUAUUUUUUUUGAUUCAUUUAUCGCAUGGGCGUGUUCUUCGAAAGUCCACAACGUAACUGGGUGGCUAUAAAGGUGCAUUACAGGUAUCUCCGAAAGUGUCUGUUGGGUUGGCACGAAUCGAGACUGGGAUUUGUCAAUCCGUAUGACGGAGAGGUGUCUCUGGGCCCACUCGGUAAUGCAUCAUCAUAAUGAGCUCAAUGUGACUAAGGAGUUAGCCACGGGAUCAUGCGUUACGGAACGAGUAAAGAGACUUGCCGGUAACGAGAUUGAACGAGGUAUCGGGAUACCGACGAUCGAAUCUCGGGCAAGUAACAUACCGAUGGACAAAGGGAAUUGUAUACGGGAUUGAUUGAAUCCCCGACAUCGUGGUUCAUCCGAUGAGAUCAUCGUGGAACAUGUGGGAGCCAAUAUGGGUAUCCAGAUCCCGCUAUUGGUUAUUGGCCGGAGAGGUGUCUCGGUCAUGUCUGCAUGGUUCCCGAACCCGUAGGGUCUACACACUUAAGGUUCGGUGACCCUAGAGUUGUUAUGGGAAAUAGUAUGUGGUUAUCGAAGGUUGUUCGGAGUCCCGGAUGAGACCCCGGACAUGACGGGGAACUCCGGAAUGGUCUGGAGGUGAAGAUCGAUAUAUUGGACGAAGGGUAUUGGAGUCUGGAAGUGUUCCGGGGGUACCAGGCUAUGGCCAGCAUGUCCGAAAGGGGUUUCGGAGGCCCCGACAAGAGUUGGGGGGCCUUAUGGGCCAAGGGGAAGGGGCAAACCAGCCCACUAAGGGGCUGUGCGCCCCUCCCAACCCCUCUCACGUAACCAGGAGAGAUGGGGGCGCCUCCCCUAGGGCAGCCGCCCCUCCCGGCUUGGGGGGGCAAGUUUCCCGGGGGUGGGGGCGCCCAAACCCAUCUAGGGUUUCCCCUAGGGAACCCUAGGGAGCCUCCUCCACCCCUUCCCCCUAUAUAUAGUGAGGGAGAGAGAGGGCAGCCGCACCCCUGGCUUGGCGCAGCCCUCUCCUCCUCCAACUCCUCCUCCUCCUCCGUAGUGCUUAGCGAAGCUCUACCGGAGAACCACGAGCUCCAUUGCAACCACACCGUCGUGCUGCUGGAGUUCUCCCUCAACUUCUCCUCUCCCCUUGCUGGAUCAAGAAGGAGGAGACGUCCCCGGGCUGUACGUGUGUUGAACGCGGAGGCGUCGUCCGUUCGGCACUAGAUCGGAUCUUCCGCGAUUUGAAUCGCCGCGAGUACGACUCCAUCAACCGCGUUCUUGUAACGCUUCCGCUUAGCGAUCUUCAAGGGUAUGAAGAUGCACUCCCUCUCUCUCGUUGCUAGCAUCUUCUAGAUUGAUGUUGGUGACACGUAGGAAAAUUUUGAAUUAUUGCUACGUUCCCCAACAGUGGCAUCAUGAGCCAGGUCUAUGCGUAGAUUCUAUGCACGAGUAGAACACAAAGUGGUUGUGGGCGAUGAUUUGUUCAAUUUACUUACCGUUACUAGUCUUAUCUUGAUUCGGUGGCAUUGUGGGAUGAAGCGGCCCGGACCGACCGACAUGCACUUGAUGCAUAAGGUGGCUAGCGGGUGUCUGUCUCUCCCACUUUAGUCGGAUCGAAUUCGAUGAAGAGGGUCCUUAUGAAGGGUAAAUAGCAAUUGGCAUAUCACCGUUGUGGCUUUUGCGUAGGUAAGAAACGUUCUUGCUAGAAACCCAUAGCAGCCACGUAAAACAUGUAACAACAAUUAGAGGACGUCUAACUUGUUUUUGCAGGGUAUGCUAUGUGAUGUGAUAUGGCCAAAACGAUGUGAUGAAUUAUAUAUAUGUGAUGUAUGAGAUUGAUCAUGUUCUUGUAAUAGGAAUCACGACUUGUAUGUCGAUGAGUAUGACAACCGGCAGGAGCCAUAGGAGUUGUCUUAAUUUAUUGUAUGACCUGCGUGUCAAUUAAAAACGCCAUGUAAUUACUUUACUUUAUUGCUAUUCGUUAGCCAUAGUAGUAGAAGUAAUAGUUGGCGAGACAACUUCAUGAAGACACGAUGAUGGAGAUCAUGAUGAUGGGGAGCAUGGUGUCAUGCCGGUGACGAAGGUGCAUGUCGCGCCUCGAAGAUGGAGAUCAAAAGGCGCAAGAUGAUAUUGGCCAUAUCAUGUCACUUUAUGAUUUGCAUGUGAUGUUUGUCAUGUUUACAUCUUAUUUGCUUAGAACGACGGUAGCAUAAAUAAGAUGAUCCCUCACUAAAAUUGCAAGAGAUGUGUUCCCCCUAACUGUGCACCGUUGCGAAGGUUCGUUGUUUCGAAGCACCACGUGAUGAUCGGGUGUGAUAGAUUCUAACGUUCGCAUACAACGGGUGUAAGCCAGAUUUACACAUGCGAAACACUUAGGUUGACUUGACGAUCCUAGCAUGUACAGGCCUCGGAACACAAGAGACCGAAAGGUCGAACAUGUGUCGUAUAGUAGAUACGAUCAACAUGGAGAUGUUCACCGAUGAUGACUAGUCCGUCUCACGUGAUGAUCGGACACGGCCUAGUUGACUCGGAUCAUGUUUCACUUAGAUGACUAGAGGGAUGUCUAUCUAAGUGGGAGUUCAUUAAAUAAUCAUAUUAACUUAAUUAUCAUGAACAUAGUCAAAAGAUCUUUGCAAAUUAUGUCGUAGCUUACGCUUUAGUUCUACUAAGAUAUGUUCCUAGAGAAAAUUUAGUUGAAAGUUGAUAGUAGCAAUUAUGCGGACUGGGUCCGUAAACUGAGGAUUGUCCUCAUUGCUGCACAGAAGGCUUGUGUCCUUAAUGCACCGCUCGGUGUGCUGAACCUCGAGUGUCGUUUGUGGAUGUUGCGAACAUCUGACAUACAUGUUUUGAUGACUACGUGAUAGUUCAGUGCGUAAUGUUAAACGGUUUAGAAUUGAGGCGCCAAAGACGUUUUUGAAACGUCGCAGAACAUAUGAGAUGUUUCAAAGACUGAAAUUGGGAUUGCAGACUAGUGCCCACGUCAAGAGGUAUGAGACCUGUGACAAGUUUCUUAAGCCUGCAAACUAAGGGAGAAAAGCUCAAUCGUUGAGCAUGUGCUCAGAUUGUCUGAGUACUACAAUCGCUUGAAUCGAAUGGGAGUUAAUCUUCCAGAUGAGAUAGUGAUGGUUCUCCAUAGUCACUGCCACCAAGCUAUUAGAGCUUCGUGAUGAACUAUAACAUAUCAGGGAUAGACAUGAUGAUCCUUGAGCAACUCGCGAUGUUUGACACCGCGAAAGUAGAAAUCAAGUAGGAGCAUCAAUUGUUGAUGGUUAGUAAAACCACUAGUUUCAAGAAGGGCAAGGGAAAGAAGGGAUACUUCAUGAAACGGCAAAUCAGUUGCUGCUCUAGUGAAGAAACCCAAGGUUGAACCCAAACCUGAGACUAAGUGCUUCUGUAAUGAGGGGAACGGUCACUGAAGCAGGACUACCCUAGAUACUUGGUAGAUGGAAAGGCUGGUAAGGUCGACAGAAGUAUAUUGGAUAUACAUUAUAUUAAUGUGUACUUUACUAGUACUCCUAGUAGCACCAGGGUAUUAGAUACCGGUUCGGUUGCUAAGUGUUGGUAACUCGAAAUAAAAGGCUACGGAAUAAACGGAGACUAGCUAAAGGUGAGAUGACGAUAUGUGUUGGAAGUGUUUCCAAGGUUGAUGUAAUCAAACAUCGUACGCUCCCUCUACCAUCGGGAUUGGUAUUAAACCUAAAUAAUUGUUAUUUGGUGUUUGCAUUGAGCAUAGACAUGAUUGGAUUAUGUUUAUCGCAAUACGGUUAUUCAUUUAAGGAGAAUAAUGGUUACUCCGUUUAUUUGAAUAAUACCUUCAAUGAUCUUGCACCUAAAAUGAAUGGUUUAUUGAAUCUCGAUCGUAGUGAUACACAUGUUCAUGCCAAAAGAUAUAAAAUAGUAAUGAUAGUACCACAUACUUGUGGCACCGCCAUUUGAGUCAUAUUGGUAUAAAACGCAUGAAGAAGCUCCAUGUUGAUGGAUCUUUGGACUCACUCAUUUUUGAAAAGAUUGAGACAUGCGAACCAUGUCUAUUGGUAUAUAUGCAUGAAGAAACUCCAUGCAGAUGGAUCGUUUGGACUCACUUGAUUUUGAAUCACUUGAGACAUGCAAAUCAUACCACAUGGGCAAGAUGACUGAAAGGCCUCGUUUUCAGUGAGAUGGAACAAAAGAGCAACUUGUUGGAAGUAAUACAUUUGAUGUGUGCAAUCCAAUGAGUGCUGAGGCACCUAGUGAAUAUCAUUAUGCUCUUACUUCACAGAUGAUUUGAGUAGAUUCUAAGUAUAUUUACUUGAUGAAAUACAAGUCUGAAGUAAUUUUAGAGUAAAGUAGAAGAUCGUCGUGACAAGAGGAUAAGAUGUCUAUGAUAUGAUCAUAGAGAUGAAUAUCUGAGUUACGAGUUUGGCACACAAUUAAGACAUUGUGGAAAUUGUUUCACAACUAAUACCGCCUGGAACACCAUAGUGUGAUGGUGUGUCCGAACAUCAUAACUGCACCCUAUUGGAUAUGGUGCAUACCAUGAUGUCUCUUAUCGAAUUACACUAUCGUUUAUGGGUUAGGCAUUAGAGACAACCGCAUUCACUUUAAAUAGGGCACCACGCAAUUCCGUUGAGACGACACCGUAUGAACUAUGGUUUAGAGAAACCUAAGCUGUCGUUUCUUAAAAGUUUGGGGCUGCGACGCUUAUGUGAAAAGGUUUCAGGCUGAUAAGCUCGAACCCAAAGCGGAUAAAUGCAUCUUCAUAGAAUACCCAAAACAGUUGGGUAUACCUCCUAUUUCAGAUCCAGAAGCAAAAGUGAUUGUUUCUAGAAACGGGUCCUUUCUCGAGGAAAAGUUUCUCUCAAAAGAAUUGAGUGGGAGGAUGGUGGAGACUUGAUGAGGUUAUUGAACCGUCACUUCAAUUAGUGUGUAGCAGGGCACAGGAAGUUGUUCCUGUGGCACCUACACUAAUUGAAGUGGAAGCUUAUGAGAGUGAUCAUGAAACUUCGGAUCAAGUCACUACCAAACCUCGUAGGUCGACAAGGAUGCGUACUACUUCAGAGUGGUACGUAAUCCUGUCUGGGAAGUCAUGUUGCUAGACAACAAUGAACCUACGAGCUAUGGAGAAGCGAUGGUGGGCCCAGGUUCCGACGAAUGGCUCGAGGCCAUAAAAUCCGAGAGAGGAUCCAUGUAUAAAAACAAAGUAUAGACUUUGGAAGAACUACUUGAUGGUCGUAAGGCUGUUAGGUGCAGAUGGAUUUUAAAAGGAAGACGGAAAAUGAUGGUAAGUGUCACCAUUAAGAAAGCUCGACUUGUCGUUAAGAUGUUUUCCGACAAGUUCAAGGAGUUGACUACGAUGAGACUUUCUCACUCGUAGCGAUGCCAAGAGUCUGUUGGAAUUAUAUUAGUAGUUACUGCAUUAUUUAUGAAAUCUUGCAGAUAGGGUGUCAAAACAUUGUUUCCUCGAUGAUUUUCUUGAGGAAAGGUUGUAUGUGAUACAACCAGAAGGUUUUGUCAAUCCUGAAAGAUGCUAACAAGUAUGCAAAGCUCCAGCAAUCCUUCUAAGGACUGGAGUAAGCAUCUCGGAGUUGGAAUGUACGCUUUGAUGAGAUGAUCAAAGAUUUUGGGUUUAUACAAAGUUUAUGAGAAACUUGUAUUUCCAAAGAAGUGAGUGGGAGCACUAUAGAAUUUUUGAUGAGUAUAUGUUGUUAACAUAUUGUUGAUCAGAAAUGAUGUAGAAUUUCUGGAAAGCAUACAGGGUUAUUUGAAAAGUGUUUUUCAAUGGAAAACCUGGAUUAAGCUACUUGAACAUUGAGCAUCAAGAUCUAUAAGGAUAGAUAAAAAAUGCUUAAUAGUACUUUCAAAUGAAUACAUACCGUGACAAGAUUUUGAAGGAGUUCAAAAUAGAUCAGCAAAGAAGGAGUUCUUGGCUGUGUUACAAGGUGUGAGUAUUGAGUAAGACUCAAGACCUGACCACGGCAGAAGAGAGAGAAAGGACGAAGGUCGUCCCCUAUGCUUUAGACGUAGGCUCUACAGUAUGCUAUGCUGUGUACCGCACCUGAAGUGUGCCUUGCCAUGAGUUAGUCAAGGGGUACAAUAGUGAUCAAGGAAUGGAUCACAUGACAGCGGUCGAACUUAUCCUUAGUAACUAAUGGACUAAGGAAUUUUCUCGAUUAUGGAGGUGGUAAAAGAGUUCGUCGUAAGGGGUUACGUUGAUGCCAACUUUGACACUAAUCCGGAUGACUCUGAGUAGUGAACUGGAUUCGUAUAGUAGAGAAGUUAUUUGGAAUAGCUCCAAGUAGCGCGUGGUAGCUGCAUCUACAAGAUGACAUAGAGAUUUGUAAAGCACACACGGAUCUGAAUGUUGCAGACCCGUUGACUAAAACCUCUCUCGUAAGCAUAACAUGAUCAAACCCUAGAACUCACUCAGUGUUAAUCACAUGGUGAUGUGAACUAGAUUAUUGACUCUAGUAAACUCUUGGGUAUUAGUCACAUGGCGAUGUGAACUUUGAGUGUUAAUCACAUGGUGAUGUGAACUAGAUUAUUGACUCUAGUGCAAGUGGGAGACUGUUGGAAAUAUGCCCUAGAGGAAAUAAUAAAAUGGUUAUUAUUUUGUUUCCUUGUUCAUGAUAAUUGUCUAUUGUUCAUGCUAUAAUUGUAUUAACUGGAAACCGUAAUACAUGUGUGAAUACAUAGACCACAACAUGUCCCUAGUAAGCCUCUAGUUGACUAGCUCGUUGAUCAAUAGAUGGUUAUGGUUUCCUCACCAUGGACAUUGGAUGUCAUUGAUAACGGGAUCACAUCAUUAGGAGAAUGAUGUGAUGGACAAGACCCAAUCAUAAGCAUAGCACAAGAUCGUGUAGUUCAUUUGCUAGAGAUUUUCUAAUUUCAAGUAUCGUUUCCUUAGACCAUGAGAUUGUGCAACUCCUGGAUACCGUUGGAAUGCUUUGGGUGUACCAAACGUCACAACGUAACUGGGUGGCUAUAAAGGUGCAUUUCAGGUAUCUCUGAAAGUGUCUGUUGGGUUGGCACGAAUCGAGACUGGGAUUUGUCACUCCAUAUGACGGAGAGGUGUCUUUGGGCCCACUCCGUAAUGCAUCAUCAUAAUGAGCUCAAUGUGACUAAGGAGUUAGCCACGGGAUCAUGCGUUACGGAACGAGUAAAGAGACUUGCCGGUAACGAGAUUGAACGAGGUAUUGGGAUCUUGGGCAAGUAACAUACCGAUGGACAAAGGGAAUUGUAUACGGGAUUGAUUGAAUCCCCGACAUCGUGGUUCAUCCGAUGAGAUUAUCGUGGAACAUGUGGGAGCCAAUAUGGGUAUCCAGAUCCCGCUAUUGGUUAUUGGCCGGAGAGGUGUCUCGGUCAUGUCUGCAUGGUUCCCGAACCCGUAGGGUCUACACACUUAAGGUUCGGUGACGCUAGAGUUGUUAUGGGAAAUAGUAUGUGGUUACCGAAGGUUGUUCGGAGUCCCGGAUGAGACCCCGGACAUGACGAGGAACUCCGGAAUGGUCCGGAGGUGAAGAUCGAUAUAUUGGACGAAGGGUAUUGGAGUCCGGAAGUGUUCCGGGGGUACCAGGCUAUGGCCAGCAUGUCUGAAAGGGGUUUCGGAGGCCCCGACAAGCGUUGGGGAGCCUUAUGGGCCAAGGGGAAGGGGCAAACCAGCCCACUAAGGGGCUGUGCGCCCCUCCCAACCCCUCUCACGUAACCAGGAGAGAUGGGGGCGCCUCCCUAGGGCAGCCGCCCCUCCCGGCUUGGGGGGCAAGUUUCCCAGGGGUGGGGGCGCCCAAACCCAUCUAGGGUUUCCCCUGUGGCCGCCGCCCCUCCCCUAGGGAACCCUAGGGCGCCUCCUCCACCCCCUUCCCCCUAUAUAUAGUGAGGGAGAGAGAGGGCAGCCGCACCCCUGGCUUGGCGCAGCCCUCUCCUCCUCCAACUCCUCCUCCUCCUCCUCCGUAGUGCUUAGCGAAGCUCUGCCGGAGAACCACGAGCUCCAUUGCCACCACGCCGUCGUGCUGCUGGAGUCAACUUCUCCUCUCCCCUUGCUGGAUCAAGAAGGAGGAGACGUCCCCGGGCUGUACGUGUGUUGAACGCGGAGGCGCCGUCCGUUCGGCGCUAGAUCGGAUCUUCCGCGAUUUGAAUCGCCGCGAGUAUGACUCCGUCAACCGCGUUCUUUUAACGCUUCCGCUUAGCGAUCUUCAAGGGUAUGAAGAUGCACUCCCUCUCUCUCGUUGCUAGCAUCUCCUAGAUUGAUCCUGGUGACACGUAGGAAAAUUUUGAAUUAUUGCUACGUUCCCCAACACCCCCCCCCCCCCAACCAGACCCAAUUCCAAACCCCGAACACCAAGCCCAAUCCGAAACCCUACCAGCAGAAGAGUGGAAGAUAUGUCUUUAUUUAGCAUUGGACGCUCUAUAGCAGUCAUAUCGGUUUUAUUAAGUUUCUUCGUCAUCCCUUUGGGAUAUCAUUUUUUUUCAGCCAAUCUUAGUAUUGGUGUUUUUCUAUGGAUUGCCAUUUCAAGUAUAGCUCCUAUUGGUCUUCUUGUGAUAGGAUAUAGCUCAAAUAAUAAAUAUUCUUUUUCAGGCGGUCUACGAGCUGUUGCUCAAUCCAUUAGUUAUGAAAUACCAUUAACUUUUUGUGUGGUCGCAAUAUCUCUACUUGUGAUUCAUUAAAAUAGGAAUUUUUUCCUAUAUAAUCCAUUAACUAUUUAUAUUCCUUUUCUUAUUUAGUAUUUGGGUUGGUAAGUUAAACUAGAUAGCUAUAUGACUGAAACAAAACAGCUUAUAAAUUUGUAGUAAAAAGAAAAUAUCGCAUUUCCUACGUGCAAGAAAAAAGUGGAAGUAAACAUAAGCAGUGCAAACUUUUAUCCCAAGGUUGAUAUUUUUUUAAUUAGUCAUCAUAUCUUGAAGCGGGCAAGAAUAAAUGAUUCAGGAUAUGGAAUUCCAAUACUGGAAUAUCUGUAAGGUAAGCUUUAUAUGAAUCAAGUUCAAGAGGUUGUAGAUCAGUUCUAUAUGACAUUGUAGAAGCUGCCAGACAUGGGCUUGGUGAGUUUGAUCUGAACAACGAAGCAGCUUCAGUAGUGGUACAAAUGAGCGGUAAAGAAGGCAGCGAGGCCGACAGAGAUGCAAGUUUGCUAGAAAGGCCUCUCGCUUGGAGAGGCGGUUAGCAGGCAUGCACAGAGAGGAGGAAGAGGUGGAGUUGGAGGAGGAGGAUGAAGAGCAGGCAGCGAUGGACGUAAUGGACCCGGAGCUUCCACUGAUAGAAAUAUCCAUGCAUAGGAGACCACUGUCGCAUCCGAUGAGCUUAUCGAUGCAACUUUCGCUGAUUCCGAAGAGGCGGAGGAGGAGGCUGAGUUGGAAAACUUGGUGAGCCACGCAGACAACCCCGAACGAAGGCCCAGCCGAUGAUUGUUCAGUCUGUUUGAAAAAGGAAAUUUUCUGCACUGUAUACUAGAGGGACAUCAGCACACAUGAGUUCAGAAAUUUAACCGGUGAUAACCUAGCAGUUGUUGCGGUGCAAAGGCCGAGGUUUGGAAUCAGGAGGAUGAGCAUCUUGUGAGCACCAACCUUCCCCAAAAAUUUGGCUACAUCCACGACCCGAGGACCGGAAAUUGGGUAAAAGGAAGAGAAACAUCACUCACGUCAUCGGGUGUUACUGACCUGGAUUUUUUGAACAUUGAAAAUGGUCUGGUUGUUGAUGGUGUUUAUGGUACUAAUGGUGCCGAAAAGUGGUCAGUGAUGUAAUUGGAGAAGCUGGUUAGUCGUCAACAAAACCUUGAGCACAAUGAGUUUAAUUUUUUACUCGUACAAUAUGAUCAAAUGAUAUUUCUCCUCGUAGAUUAAGAAAGAUAAAGAAGCACACAAUGGCCUCUUCAUGGGAGAAGGGCCCCCCAGAAGUAUUGGGAAACCCUAAGCACCCCGGCCGCACGAGGGGAGUUGAGAUUUUUGCUCCAUGAAAAUAUGCCCGCAACCAUUGUUUGCAAGAGAAGCGCGAAAAGAAGAAAGCGAAGAAAAAGGCUGGUGAAGAUGAAAAAUUGGAGGAUUUUAAAGAGUCGUCGUUAUUACAAAGCCUACGAACAGAGUUGUUGGGCGGAGGACCAGCAUCACCAGCACCAGCACCGGCUGCGCCAAUGAUUGAAGGUCUGUAAGCACAUCGAAGUAGUUGCGCUUCCAUGGCCUUCCCUCAAGCUUAAGCUUUACUGCCCAAAUUCUAUCCCUACGAUGAGGUUAUGGUAAGUCGACGGUAAAUAUUCAUAAUACCACAUACAUGAUACUCAUAACCCAUCUGUCUUAAGACAAAAUUUACCAUUUGGUUAUAGGUUAUCAAGCCCUACAAGCUUAUAGUAAGGAUCGUCGGCUGUGACGAGGCUGUGGAAGCUGCUUAGGGCCAAUUCCACCCUCCUAUCCUAGAGCAACCGAAAGUCCACAAUGUUGUCCCUAGCCCCAAACAUGGUACGGUCACCGUGGACGACUACCAUCUCCCGUUCAAAAGUUUCAAGAUUCCAGUACUCCCCUAUGAAGAGAUGAACACACUCGAGCUGGCGAAGGGUAGCCUUAUCCAGUGGCUGAAGAGGGACAUCAUUUUGAAACAAGAUGAAUUAAUUAUUGCCGGGGUUGUGUAGGAACUCCUGAAUUAGACAACUGAUGGCAACUCAAAGGAUACAAUCAUCACACUUUUCCGUGAGGCGGGACAUGGAGGUGCCACACUAGCUGCGUGGCCGACAACCGUGAACCGGGGCCGGUCAAACACGCCUUGGGGGUACGUCGGAUUGACGUGUAAUCUAGGGACCUGGUUUGUUGUAAGGCACGAAUCCGGCGCCAGAUGCUAAAAUAAGUUUUCCAGGAGCCUGCGUGCAGAUUAAGUUUCUCAGGGGGCAUUUAGUAAAAAUAAUACUGACUCUAGCUUAGCUUGUUGGGCACAACUAGCUAGUACUAUUGCUGGCAAAAAGAUACUAUUGCAUCAAUCCAAAGAUAAUGAUUCACAGAGAGAGAGAGAGAGAGAGAGAGAGAGAGAGAGAGAUUCCAUCCAUGCUUUUCAGACCACUUCAACAUCUAUCAUUUUCGUUUCUUUUAUUUUCUUCUGCUGCAAGAGAAGAUUCCGUCCUGCUCUUUAUUUUAUUUCUAUUCACCCACAGCAAGCACCAGCAGACAAACAACCAAUUAUUUGAGUUUGGAUUUGGAUGAGCCACGUGGCCCUUGUUGCUAUCAGUCACCAGCCAGGCAGCCACACUCAUCCUCCUUCCUAGCCGUCUCUGUGGCUCAAGAUAUUAAUCAGUAAGAGUAAUUACCAUUAUUUAUCAAUGCUAUAUUUUCUUAUGAAAUGAAGGCCUUUUUUAUAUUUCUUAGUACAUCAUUUUGUAACUUGUAACACCAAAAAAUAUAACAGAGGAAACCGCCUCUGUUAGAGCAGAGCAGAAUUUGACCCCAAGGAGGAUACCGCCUCUUUUCGACCAAUGUAAGUAAUACAUAUUGUAUAUCACACAAGUUAUGCCGUUAGGAAAUAUAACAUAUAACCUAAAGUUUCUAAGUUUCUAAUGAUGUACUAGUAUGGAACAAUAAACACUCAACCUCUUGCUUUUCAAACACCAACCAAAUCCACACAAACAAUCAACUCCUCAUGGAGUAGAGUCAAAUGUGAUGUGAUGAUUUAUAUGCAUAUGGAUGAUAAGAAAGAAAGGGGGCCUCAACAAAACACAACACAACACAACAGGGUUGGUUGACCACAAGGUUAGGUUAGGUUAGGUUGGUGAUGUGAAGAAUAAACACAAUCAAACCUCUUGCUUGUCAAACACCAAACCUACACAAACAAUCAACUCAUGGAGUAUAAUGUGGACCAUAGCUACCUUUCACGAGACUCGUUCCAUAGCAGCCGCAAAGAAUAGAUGCUACUAUUAUACAUAUUUCAGACUAGCUGUAGAUGUUAUCUUUGUUACUAAUUUAAUUUAACUCUACGGCUAUUAUCCCAAUCCUUUUCAGCCACAAACAAGUACAAUGCAUCAUAUACAUUUCACAUGAUUGAAAUGUGAUGUGAUAGUAGUUUAUAUGGAUACUAAUGUGAUGAGGAGACAGGGAGCCUUCUUACAUCAAGCCCCACAAUUGUCAUUCUCAUUGAUACUAAUGUAUAUAUAACUAUACAUUGGCUACACAGAAUGGAUAUUUUUGGAUACUGCUACAUACAUAUAAGAUAUAUCUACCGUGACUAGAAAAAAAGAAUCGAGAAUAGAUGUGAAUGACCUCCUGCCUGCCCUGUGCUCUCUUCCCAACCCAGCCGGCAGCCAUAAACAAAACAAAAACAAAAACAAAAAGCUAUGACAUCUUUACACCAACCAACCUAUGACUAUGAAAAUGGAAUAAUCUACAAGGCCCGACCGGGGGAGCAGAAAGGAAGAGAAAAACCUAUAUCAACUGACAAAUUUACAACAUUCUAUCCUCCGGAGGCUACCGUCUUCUGCCCUCGCGCGGAACCCAUUCAGCUCUUCAAGAACUGGAACGACGCAUUUUCCAGGAGCUCUUGCGGCGGGACCACGUUCUGGAACUCCUUGGUGUCCAUGGAGUUGCCUAUCUCCUCGAGAGACAACGGCAUGCUGCAAGCAGGGCACACGGAGCGUUCGAAAUCAAGUUCGACACUGUGAUUCAGCACGUACGACUUUUAGUUUCUGAGAGUGCGCCAUUUGUGGAUAUACGGCGUACACGUACCUUGUCUCUUCGUCUAGUAAAUAGGCGCCCGAGCCAGCUCCCUCGUUCACCAACGUUUUCAUCUCAUUAAGGACCUACAAUACAAUCAUUAGGAAAUGUAUCAGCCCUGAAACCUCAGCUUGGCACAGACAGAAUGCAGGGGAAGGUGCUCGAUUAGCCCUGUGAAGUUAGAUUUGGUGCUUAAUUACCUCUUCGGAUACACUUUCAGUAUUAUAUUUGUCAUCCCAGUACUGUGUGCAUAUCCUGUAAAGUUGGUGGACACUCAAUACCUGCAUAACGGCAUGCAGAAAUAGGUGUUUAGCUACUCUUCUUCUGGAUGCUGCGUUGGGUUUGGGGGUGGGGGUGGGGGGGCCUUACUGGGCAGAGAUCACUCAUUAUUUCAUCAUAUGAUACCCUGAACUUUUUGAAAAUGACCUGCAUCACAGCACAAAGAUGGUCAGACCUACCUAAUAGGGACACAAUUUUCAUAGAAGUCAGUAAACAGCACAGCGGCAGUCUUUGAACAGCAAACACAAACACAACUAAACUGUUCCCAGUGUGCGAUUCAAAAUCGAUUGAAAUGCUCCACAACUUUUUAUACUUAAAAGAACUACUCCCUCCUUUCACUUUUAUAAGUCGUUUCAGACAAGUGAAAUUGAGCUGUUUUGCACAAUGUCUGAAACAUCUACAAAGCCUUAUAAAAGUGAACAGAGGGAGUAACAAAUGUUGUUAAGAUAAUGAUAAGAAUCCAUGCCGAAAUACAAAAUACAUGCUGAAGUUUGUAGUUACGUACCAGGAAGCCAACAGCCUGGCUUAUGUGCUUAAGUUCAUCCCAUGCAGAUCCUGCGUACUGUUGGUAUUUCACGGUUAGCGGUUAGGCACAAGGUAAAUAAAGUGAAGAUAUUAGUACUGGUGUUACAUUGUACUCCCUCCGUUUCUAAAUAUAAGACCUUUUAGAGGUUCACUAAAAGGUCUUAUAUUUAGAAACGGAGGGAGUAGUUACUAUUGAGAAAGAAUAAAGUUAUUAGACUACAAUGUUGGUUGCGAGCAUUUAACAAUCAUAAUAUAAAGUCUGCAUCUUUAGAAAGAAUAGCAAAAUCAAACAUAUAUAUUUACCUCUGGCUUGGCUUGUGUGCACCAUGCCUCCAGUUCUUCAAUCCCUUGUUUCACAUAUUCUCCAUUGCUGAAAGAACAGCACUCUCGCCGUACAAGAAGACUGGGACAUAUAGCAACAUCAGAAGAGGGAGAAUUAGGAACUGCGGAAAUUGACGGCAGGCAAGGAAAGUCUAGUCUAGACACGAAGUUACCUAUUGAAGAGUUGAGCGUUGAUGUAUGCAUAAAGCUGUGUAAAGAUCUUCCGACAAAAAAUGGUUGGGACCUGAAAUUUCAGCAUUAAGGCCAGAAGUCAGAACACCAUGCAGCCAAAUGCAAUGCGGGUUUCAAGGUUUAAACUUACACAAUUUUCUUGCAAGAUUUUCAGGAGAUCAUUGAAAUGGCCGACUAUCGCUUUCCAAUAGCUAUGUUGAUCUGUUAGCAAACCAGCCUUCGCAGUUCUUGGCGCCUUUGAGUAUCAAUGUGUAUACAGGAAUGAGCAUUAGACCAGCAGCAACAACUUAUUGCCAUGCAGGUGCAGAGUUAGCAUGAAAUCUUAACAUAUGAAUUAUAUAGCCUAAUCAUCAGGCAAUAGAAAUUCAUCAUGGUACAAAGGUACUCGUGAUAUAAAUAAUAGUCUAAUUUCUUCUCGUUAAGUUUGCAAAAGGGUUCAAGUGUUAUGCCAAGUUACCAACUGAGAGGAACUAGCCAAAAACAUGCAAGCGUGAGUCAAAGUUAACUUAGUAUUCCUGGAUUCCCAUGGGAGGUUGCUGAGAUGUCUCAUGCUUAUUUCUAAAAUUAUAUUUGUCCAGCAAGAAUCUUCUAAAGCAUGAAAUGAUAAUUAACCUGAGGACCCGUGAUAGAUGGGGUAACCUGAAUAACAUGCGAGAGUACUGAAGACACUUCUCUCUUCACAUUGUCACGGAUCAUUCCAUAUAGGCCUUCCACAAAGGCUGUAAGCUGUUGCUUGAAAAGGAAUGCAGGAUACUUGCCCUCAACUUGGCGCACAAGAUCCAUAUCAACAGUAAUGCUUGAAGCACGAAAUACCUGUGGAUCAUAUAACACCAAGAGAUUAAGAAAUGAGUCAAGAUAACCUCGUCUAGCCUAUCAUACAAUUUUCACAAAAUACAAUUGCUAGAAUUCAGAGAACCCUUGUUAAUCAUUUUGUUAAAAAAAAGGAUGAUUAUUCGUUCUCUUUUUUUUUGUUUCUCGUUCCCUCUUUUGGCUUUUCUGGUUCUCCUUAUGCGUGUUCAAGAAAAGAAAAGGAUAUAUAUAUAUAUAUAACAUACCAUCCUCCCAAGGAAAGACGUCUGAGUCGUUGUUCUUUUCAGUGGUGUUGUUACAGUGCCAGCAGGUUUCAGACUCUUUUGCAGUAUAAUCAACAAUGAUGAUGCAUUUGAUAGCCAGUAUGCAAGAUCGGCGUUACUGUCUUGUUUCUGUGAUACAAAUUGUGCAAAUUUGAAAAGGGCAACAAUAUAAAUUGAAUACGCCUGACAGAAUCACGCUAUGAUGGACAUAACUAAGUAAAUCAUAGAAUGAAAACGAGCACAAGAAUUGUUUAAGGCUUGAACACUAGAAAUACCUGCAUGGCUGAACUAAAUAUCUGAAUAAGUCGAUCAAAAAUAUUAGUUUUUUCCGCCUCGAAAGUUCUCCAAUGAAGAAGACAUUUGUAUAUGGUUAUUGCAGCAACUGGUUUUCCCUCGCUAAAUCCAAUGUUUUCAUUAACACAGUUAAUCAGUGCUUCAACACUCUCCUGCAAGUAAAAGGUGGAGCCAUAGUUUAAUUUGUUUUCUAAUGACUUCAUUAACUGCUUUAAUUAUCGAACAUCAGCCCAAGUAAGUACUUGGUGUCUCUCAAUUAAAGAUCUCCGUCCGAAUUCCAUAGGUGUGGGUGGUGACUGCAGGGAUGAUUAUAUUAGAUUCAAUCAUGAAAAAUAAAUCUAAAGAGUUAUUAACAAGCAGUAUAAGAUAUUCCAAACCUGUUGUUCGUCUGCAGGUACACUCAAAUUCUGCACAGUUGCAAACACUCAGAAGCAUAAGAAUACUUUCAUGUGAGUGUGCACACAAGAGAGAGAGAGAGAGAGAGAGAGAGAGAGAGAGAGAGAGAGAGAGAGCGAGAGAGAUUACAGAUUUUUUAUGCAUGUUAAGCAAAGGAUCAGGUCUUGGUCUCGCAGCAUGUUGUCGGAGAUUAAUGAUCUCUGCUUCUGCACUAGCCAACUUCUCUCGAAGGCUGGUCAUGGAAAUAAUUGCAAUCGUUUAACAUAAGAUGGCUUGGCUAAUAAAGGAUAGAAGCAUUUACCAGCAUCACGAGUUUAUAUCAAAUACAACAUGAAAGAAGAACCUUAGAAAUGCAUUCUUUAGUUGAUUUAGCUGUGACUCUGCCUCUGUAGCUUUCUUCAGAGACUCUUCUCUGACUUGGUCUUGAUCUUUAAACCUCUCUUCCGUUUCCUCUAUUUUUGUCUCAAGAGAGCUCACCAGUGUCUGCAAGUCAAAAGUUUAUCACUCCAUUACUCCACUAGGGGUACAAAAAAUAAUAAUUGGAUAGCAAGUGUAUUCAUGUUAUGCACACCCUCCUAUGAUUGGCCAUUUAAUAGCAAAUGAUUUAACCAAUGAAUACGUCUAUUUGAACAUCGAAGCUACCAGACUAAUCAAAAUCUAAGAUGUUCAAUAACGUAGAUUGUUAAAAAAAUUGAAUGGUAUUCAUCCUCAUUUAUGGUUUCACAUGAAUAUCCAGAAAAAAGGAUGAGGAGUUCACUGAUUCAAUGGUACCUAUAUAAGCUACACAAGAUUCAUCGCUAGAUUUUGUUAUCACAUUUUCUUUUGUAUUUGUUCGUAUUUCUGCGUUAAUACCUUGAGCUUCUCAUUUUCAGCAGUGAGCUUCUCGUUUUCGGCAGUGAGCUCAUUAACUUGAGUUUCAUCAACACGGAUCUCUGGCACUAGAGUAACUUUCUCUGCUUUCUCUGAUGCUGCCUUGGAAGUUUCCUGUUCCUUCUUUAACAAUUCUUUUGUUUCCUUGAAUUGCUGUUGCAAUUCCUGCAAUUGUGAUUGGAGCUUCUUAUUUUCUUGAAUCUUGGCUUCCUUGGCUUCUUCCAAAUCAGACUGCAAGUACAAAGUAUGUAUAUGUUAUUCCAAAAUGAUCAAAAGUUUCCUUCAUAAUGUUAUGAGAUGCACAAUGCUCCUCUAUCAUACUAGCAAUAGCAGCCUUGCAAAUGUGCCAACUGUUGACAUGAUAUCUGCGAGUUUUUGUUCUUAUUGUCCAAUUAUUUUCCAUCUUCUUUAUACAUCCACCACAAGAUGCUAAUUUGCAUGACAGCCCAGAGAAGUUUUGCAAUCUAAUGCACAUUAUAGGUCAUAGGAAGUGCCGCCUAUUAAUAAAUUCCAUGUCAGCAGAUAUGUUUGUGCUGAAUAGCAAAUGUUAUGUUACUCCUCUACAAAAGUUUUCAAAGGAAUUUACUCUAUGCAUUUGGACCAUGCAUAAAAAACAUUUUUAGACAACAUUGUGGCCAUGGUUCUGUGCUAGUUUACCCUGAUGCGUUUCUCCACUUGUAACCGCCAAGUAAGCUCCUCGACUUCUUUCUCUAGUUUACUCUUGGCAGCCUGUAGGGCGCCAGUUUCCUUUGCAGCCUGAAAGUAAUGAAAAAGUGGCCAGGCACCAAAGAAAUCAAAAUAGUUCUCAAUAACUGAAUCAACCAGAGUUAUAAUGAACUCAGCGCUAUGAUUUGCUUCGUGAUACAGAGAAAUAGAAAUGUAAGACCAUGGUAGUUGAGUGAUAUUUUUUUUUCCAACCUAACUGGGUGGUAUCCUAACCAAAAAAAAAAGGAAGAUGAAAAUAGUUGUAACAACACAAGUUUGCAGUUACAUUACUACCAUGGCUGUAAAAGAAAUAUUUUAAGGGAUUUUGUCCUGAAAAAACUACCAAUGUUGUAGCUUGAUCAAGGGUAGAAAGGAGGAAGUCAAGAUAAGUUUACAAGGGCUCUUACCAUUUUGAGUUGUCGAAGUUCUUUUCUGGCUAUUCUUCCUCUCCAACGACACUGAGUGGCGAGUGUAGCCUUCAACAUCUUCACAUACCUUGAGCGUGCUAAAUGACAGCGGCAUCGAGUCUACAAUGUACGAAAUUGUAUUAGACUAGGUAUGAUAUAACUAUUUGUGACUUAGCCUCUUGUUAUCAUGAGAAACACAAAUAUUUCUGAUACUUUUUACUAUCAUAGUUAUUAGCACCUCAUUUCACUAUGCUGAAAACAUAGGUUUAUUUAUGCCGAUACAGAACAUAUCAAACUUUUGUGUAAGACGAACACAGAAUUACAGAAUCAAUAAAUAUCCAUCACAAGUAUCUCAUAUAUGAUCAGCACUUGCAUAUUCUAUUUGGUGGAUCUACUUUGAUUGAAUUAAACAUGAAGCCUCAGAAAUACCUGAAUAAUCACUGCAGCUUUUGUUUGUCGGCAAAAACGGAGUUUCUUGCGAGCAGCCAUACCACGCAGACCACAUUGGAUAGUAGUUGAUGCGGACCACAGAUCUCUAAAUUUAUUUCUUUCUUGGCGCAUACGGUAGCGCGUCUGAAUUCGCAAAGCACCUGCCUGUCUUCGAAGAUUUUCAUAUAACCUUCUAGCAAGUGUUCCUUCGAUAAUGAAAGUAUAUGAGUCACUAUCUCUGCUAAAGCAGGGUUUGUGGAAGAAAAAUAAACUGGAAACAGAUAUAUGUACCCCUGCAUACUGCCUCGAGCUGUGUAGCACAUGUUCGCAGCUCGACGUACUUCUUGCGACACAGAAAUGAACGAACUUUGGUUUGUAUUUUUUUAGCAGAAAGUCCCAAAACCUCAGUUCUUAGAGCAUCUAACUCAGCCAUUUGACCAGCACGGAGAAAAACUUUUGUUUUCCCUAUCUGUAAAAUUCGAAAUCAGAAGGUGAGGCUGAUACAAGAAUAACGAAACAACAUAUCAGAUAUCAGUGUUUCACACAAAAUGAUUUGUCAAACUUGGAUCACAUUCAAGUCUUGGAUUGCUAUAUAUGACUGGAAUGUCUGUUAGCAAACAAUUUCCUUUGGGGCAUGUGCAAAGGCAGAGCUAGACUGAGAACAACAAGGGUUCAUUCGGUGCUGUGCCUUUCUUUGAUGUCUGUAUUCUGGCCCAUCAGGGUGUAGCUUGCAUGGGUUAGGGUGGUGCACAAGAGACUAGUGUGAAUUAUUCUUGGGCCAGGUCGGUACACCCCCAAGGGCCUAUUUGGCUCCCGUCCCAGGUAUGUGGAUCACAAAUACCAAAAAUUCAAUCUAAAAACCCGAGAAAAAUAAACACAACUUCUUUUGGGGAUCCAGAUUAUAAUUCACACAAAAUGUGUAGAUCAAAAUGAAGUUUUGUAACACAACUCUGUUUAGCACUGCCUAUUCAUUAGAUCAAUCAUGGGCUCUUGGUGGUCGCUGUUGUGAAUUGUGGUACUCUUUUAAGAUUGCCAAACUAAGAUCAGGACCAAGAAAUGAAUAAACUGGAAACAUCAAAGCACUAAUAUUUCUUCUAAUAGUUACCUGAUAGCCUACAAGGUUAGCUUUCUCGAGAAUCAUCUUCGUAGAAGUAAUUUCAGUAUUACUGCCAAAGGAAAAAAACACAUAAGUACUUACAACAUAUGGAACAGAAACAAUGAAAUAAUCAAAUAAAUAGUAAGUUACCCUUUACUCAGAGCUUUGGGGUGCAGAAUACCAAAUCGAUUGACAAAUUCAUAGAAGGUUCGCCUAGUGGGGUAUCCUAGACAGCUUAUCCUUAUUGCCUCUAAAACACCCUGUUCAAAAAGACAGAUGGCAUUUCACGACUCGAAUGCAGAUCAAUUGUAUUAUUUUCUCUGACAUUUAUGCAUUUAGACCAGCAAAAGAAACAGCACAGAAAUUGGUCUCACCCCACAGCGAAGCUGCUGGAGAACGUUACUGUUCUCAAAUAUCGCUGGCUUGAGAACAUUGUUAGGUUUUAUGCAGCGGAUGUAGUGUGGUUCUGUUGCACUCAGCGUUUCUAACAGAGAUUGUAGUUGUUGCUGCAAUAUCAUGCCAAAAUAAAAAGGGGUAAAUAAACACAAAAUAUAUGAAGGGAAUAGAGCAAAUGUUGUACCUUGAAACUUGAGCCUAUUGAAGUAAACUUUGUGUUCUUUGCUGCUUCUUCAACAGGUGGAAAAAGGCUUGAAACAAAUGGACAUUUUGAAGCAUUCAAUAGGAUUUGAUGUUCAUUUACAGCAUAAUCUAUGUUUUUAUCUAAGAAAAGAUCUGUUUGAUAAGUGACCUGCAGCAGGCAGAGACAAUUAUUUAGUGUGCGCAUCUUAACUGUGUGAAUAGCAGCCAGUUCAAAUAGAACCGUCUGAUUAGCAGGAGCAAUAAACUAUCUACUGUUAAGAUAGUGAAUGAAUGUGCUACAUGUGUGUCAGGAGGAUCAAAGGAAUGUCAGCUGACUAGGCAAAAUACUUGGGCUUCAAUUCUUUUCUAUCUAGCACAUUUGGGAAGUAUUUUACUCUGUUGCUUGCUGAUUCAAGCAAAAGCUGCUAACAGAUUGGCAGACUUGGACACAUUUUGGCCAUCUAACAUCAAGCCUUUUAGUGCUCAAAUUAACUGCCGUAUUUUAUCCAAGUGUAGGACAGGCCUGUUAGUUUCUUUAGUAAGUUAAACACCUGCCCCUAGAUGCGGAAUUUCGAUUUAUCUGCAGUUAUCAGUUAUGAAGAGAAGACAUAAUAUCCUGGUUAAAGCAAGCGCUGUAUACCCUGGAGAGAUAAACUCUCCUCGACUCCGCAUCAUAAGAUGCCAAGUAGUCGAAUACUAGAAGGUACCUACAAUCAGCUUACUGCAAAGGAACGAGAUGCAGAUGGGUACAUUAAACAUGAUCUUAGAAUGGCAAUAUCUCGCAUGGUAAGUACACCAUAUUUAUCAUAAUUACAUGUCAAUCACAUGUAUUUUCCAGUGUGGGCAGACAACUGGUAACCACUCAAAAACAUAUUGCCAGGAAACAUAAACUUUAAUAUUUACAUGUACAUCAAUGAUAUGUUACCUACAUUUCCAGCAUAAUGAUGGACAGUGAAAUCAGAUCUUGAAAAUUUGGGUUUACUGAAGUGCGGGUUGUCCUUGUACUUUUGAUAUAGCUUCUCAGCAAAUGUUUCAUGCGUUGAAUUCCGUAACAUGCUGAAUAAUAAGAAAACACAUUGUUAAUAAUUUUUUUUAGAUUCUAACGGAAAAGGAUAUGUUUACGGUUAUAUGUGCAUACCAUGUCUCAUCCAACAGAGCAAUUAUCCCCCCUGGUUUCUGCAUCAAACAAAUUAGAAACAGGAAAUAAGAUGACAUAAUUAAUUGGUUAUUACAACAUAUCAUGGCUAAAGCAUACAGCUAGAAAAAAAAAAUGCACGAAACACAAUCAACCAGACAGCAGAUACGUACUUAUCAUGCAUGGAAAUAAUGCUAUCAUCAUGUAUAGCAUCUAACCCGGAUUGCUAAUAUGGCAUGUGCAAACGUUACGGAUGGAAAUUAUCGGCAUCUCAGUAUACAAUCUGGAAUACAAACUAGUACCACUACAUCUAAGUAUCUAACUCAUCACCUCCAAAUAAAGAUGUCACUGUAACUAGAAUCUGAGUUUCAAUACCUUUUCAAUGAGAUCAAGAAUUUCUUGGUUGUCCACAAACUGGAUGUAACUCCAGUCAAUUUCUUCCUUUGUAUAUUCCUCUUGUUCCAUCUUAAAAACAUGCUGUUGAUGGGACAUAUUUUAGUUAGGAAAAGACUCGGCGUUAAACCGGUUGGACGACCUAAACACAAAACUUGUCGAGCGAAGGAAAUUCCAUUUUAUAACCUGAUUAAAAUGUUGCUGGAGCUUCUCAUUAGUUAGAUUGAUACAAAAUUGCUCAAAGCUGCAAACAAUCAAAAUGUCAGCAUGUACUAAUUACCUUCUUUCAAAUCUGGCAUAAGCAGAUAGUUAUAUAUGCAGAAGUUGAACUAUCAUCUACUGCCAGUUAAGAGUAUGCAUAAUCAAGGACUUCAGUGAACAAGAAAGUUAGCAAGUAAAACCCUGCUGCUGCCGGACGGCGCUACCGUGUAGUGUGUUGCAUUCUUAGUGUGGUGUGCGCGUAGUGCCUCCCUGAGGCUUUUACAUAAACCACUUUCGUUUUAGUGCAUCGAGACGCAAUCCUUUUGCGCUUUCUUGAACAAAAAAGGUUAGCAAGAAAAUAUUAAUAUUAUGGCUUUCUUGACCAAUACUAUAUUACUAUUCUUUUAGUAGUGACGAAACGAGUGGCAUGUCCCAUUAAAACAGAAGGGUUUAAUACCCAGUCCAAGUUUGGGCCAGGAAGGACGAUUAGUGUUGUGUUGGGUCCACACAGCUACUUGCAUAGGUUAGAGAAGCAUAUUUAUGCUAAGGAUAUCAUCUGAUCAUUUGAUAUUCAUAUCAUACAGUUAUAGUUUGAUUAAUUUCCAUCUGAUCCACAAUUAAGGCAUACGGGACAAAGGAGCUUGUCGCAUCCUCCCAUGCGUACGUGUGUUGUGCAUUAGUGCUGAAGUCCAUCUACUAAGACUUCCAUAUGUGACUUCUGUAAGUGUACGAACAUAAAUACUAGAUUAAAUGCAAAAGCAUACCAGUUAAGCACCUGUUUGUCUUGAAACUCUCAAAGCCAUAUAUGUCCAGCACACCAAUCAAAAUCUUUGAAUCUGGGUCUUGACCAAUGGAGCUAUUGAUUUUAUUUACAAGCCUGUAACAGUGGGGAACACAGUAUUCAUAAUUAAUCUUGAUAUAGCACAGUAUACAGAAGCACAAAGAAACCUUCCAAAAUGAUGGUUUCCAGACUUACCAAUCAAACAAGCGCGAGUAAACAAUCCUAGACAAUGCAUCUCUGCUAAGAGCUGCACCCUUUGCAUCUAAAUUUUUUGUAAUACUCUCUCCACGUGUUGCCAUAACACGCUUGCACAAAGAUUCCUCAAGACCCUUUGCAUCGCACCUGCAGAAUGUUGCCGGUGCAUGUUCAUAAAAAGAAUGAAAAAGGAACUUUCGGAAAAUACUCAAAAAACAUUAAUAAAGAAAUAUAUAUAUACAUGAAAAGCUCAGCUGCUGUCUUAAGAUGGAACUUAGAUUUAUCAUCUUUGGGUGCAGAGGAAUCUGGUUCACUUCCUUCUCCAAACUCUAUAUUCCCCAAAUGGAGAAUAGCAGCUACAACUUUGAAUAUUGCAUCCUGAAAGAAAUAUCAAAUUGUAUGUAAAUAAAAAAUAAAACAUUCCUCCCUUGCUGAUGUACUAAACUGGUUGCCGGUGAAAUUGGCCGUACCUGUUCAUCAUUACUCAUACCUACAAUACCCAUAGCUCUUCUGGUUUCGAUAUACUCUUUGGAGUCAUCAAAUCCAUUAAGAUCAAUGCAAUUAGACUGGUUGAGAUAGUGAAAUGUUUUAGCCUCUCCCACUUUAAAUUUGUCGCGGUCCUGAUAAUCAUAUUCACAUAUCAAAGCAAUAGGUUAGUACACUACAUAUGAUUUUAUAUAAACACUCAAAGUUACAAAGGGCUACAACAAAAUGCGGAUCAGAGGAUGUAGCAAAUCAACACAAAUGCUAAUUAGAUGAUUUACAGUUGCUAAUCAACAUCUUAUGUCUUGGCUCAAUCUUACAGUUUCUAGUCGUCCUAAUUUGAAAAUCCAUAUCUCUAACAGACCGAUUUACUUGCAAGAAAUGUAUGAGAAACUAUAUCUUUCUUGAGAUGAUAAUUAUGUUUAGACCUAUUUUACAGAUCCCAGAAGCAAUGAUUAUCCAGGAAAGACAUACAGUAUAUUUCAGCUUGUGGCAGUUAGCCUCUAUGUGUGAAUGCCCUGAGGUUUUUGCAAAUUUCUUCAAUUUUUACGGUGCAGAAUAGGGUGUUUUUGUAAGCAAGAUAUAAUUUCAAUAAAACAUAGUAGUUGACAAAUAAUGUGGUUCCAACAAAAUUCAGAAGAAGAAGAGCCUCUUACUUCUGGUGGUGAAGCGCACAGCAUGUAAAAGCAGUGAUAGUUCCUUUCUGGGUCAGAUAUUUGACAAACACGUGACCUUUCCAGAAGAUAAGUCCUUAUGGCGGCUCCUGAAAUCUUCCCAUACUGGUCAAACUGAAUCUCAACGAAUUUGCCAAACCGACUGCAGAAUCAAGAAAGGUAAGAUGUAUAGCAAACAUCCUAUGAAGAUAAUAAUACAUUCAAGUUGUGUAGGUAAAUUAAUUAAUAGCCAUCCAAAAAGUAAAUCAAUACUAGUGCAUUACCUUGAGUUAUUAUUCCUAACUGUUUUUGCAUUGCCGAAUGCCUCAAGAACAGGGUUGGACUGUGUCAGGUAAGCAGAGCAUGUCAGAACAUAAUGUGAAUUACAUACUAGUGCUUCUUAACCACUUUUUUUUUAGUGGUUCUUAGCUUGCCAGGUGUGCUUGUGCUACCAGCAAAAGAAGGGCACUGAGAAACGCACCUCUAGGAUCUGUUCUUGCACUGACCUUCCUUCAGCUUUAGCUUUACCACCCAUAAAAGCAAGAUACUGCAUAAGACUUUUAGUGCUUUCUGUCUUGCCAGCUCCACUCUCUCCACUCACUAAUAUUGCUUGGCUGAUACGAUCGUUGAUCAUAAGUCUGGGAAGAAUAAAGAUAGGGUGCGAAUUGGUUAUUAUUGUCAGGUAAAAUGUUGAAUCUGAGAAACUGCAGUGGCAGUGGGGGAGGAACGCACCUAUACGCACGGUCGGUGAUAGCAAAUGGAUGGGGACUCAGCUCACCGAAUUCUGCUCCUUUGUAAAUUCCCAUCAUGUGGUUGUUAUAGAGGUGGGGUAGUCUUUGAAAUGGAUUCACAGCUAUCAAAAUAUUCCCAGUGUAAGUCUGGAAGAAGAAUUUAAUCCAUUAGAGAAGCUGCAAGAAGAUGAAUAGUAUCUCAAAUGAAAAAGGUACUUUUGUGCACAUGAAGAAGGUCAUAGCAUUUUUCAUGAUGGAAUUCCACUAGCUCAUGGAAGAGCACAAAAUUAACCUGGAUGUUAAUUUGUUGAGGGACUCAACUUACGUAUAUCUCAUUGAGGGCGUAUCUGGACUUGAGGUUCUGGAGCACUCCUGGUUCGUGCAGAUAGGCGAGCCUGGUCAUAUCCUCAACACCACCACGCGGGGAUUCCGUGUCCUUGGGAAAGGCAGUCGAGAGAUUAACGGUGGCCUUCUUUCCAUUGGUGCAGUUUAUGACAAGGUCCUCCCCGUUGACCUCCUCCACCUGGCCAUCCAUCCAUGCCUCGUCUGCAUCUUCGAUCCAGACAUGAGAGCCGACGACAAAGCGGCUUUUGGUUUUGGACGCCUGCAGCAACGACGACAAGAUUGACAUUAGUUCUGGUUGAUGCUGGCAUGUAUGGUGAGUAGAAAUUAAUCUACAUUCCCUUUUAUCAGUUAUUAUGGAUGAAAUUAAUCUGCAUUACAAGAUGUGUCAAAUGCAGAAACCCCAUUGAAGGAUGUAUGUACCGUACGUUUCCCUUGAACAUGGCACAUGAAUUGCGCCAGAAAUGAAUUGAUGUUCCAAAUGUGCGUUGUUGAAUAAACAAGUUGAAUUGAAAACAAAAGUAAAGAAAAAGGAGCCAACAAGCAUUGAUCGCGUCCGGGCAUUUCAUCAAACAGUUGCUGAGGCCACGCCAAAGGGGUCGCAUUUGGGGCCAAGAACCGAUUUUGAUCCCACGGAUUGAAUGGAGGGGGAGAUUGAUAGAAUACCAUUGUUGGGCGACGGCGGCGGGGCGAUGAUGAGAAGAGAUCAGAGGGAGGCCGGCCGCAUCAACUCCGUCCCGCGGCGGCAGGCCGAAUGCGAGCGGUGCCGGUCGAACGGCGGCCGCACCACCACCGCACCGGGCCCUCUUGCAGGCAACGGCGACGGCGACGGAGAAUGGGGGGGAAUGAAUGAAAUCCUACGGAGCAGGGUCGAAUCCACGGCGAGCGAGCAUUGCCGUCCGUCGACAGCAACGCGGUGGUGGUGGUGGUGGCGAGAUUUCCUUGGGCUCGCUCUGGUUGUGGAGCUCCCUUACUUUUUUUAGCAGCGGGUGUGGGGAGGAGGGGGUGGUCAUGGGAUGCAAUGCAAGAAUGGAGGAGGAGCCGCCCCCGCACUCCCGCGCCAUUGCCAUUGCCACACACCGAGAAGAAUGCGGGAUGCUCUCUCUCUCACACACACAAAAUACCAGCAUAUGCCACUUUCCUUCUCUCUCUCAUGGGUGGGUUCUCUUGGGCCGGGCCGCCAGGCCUGUGGGCCGGCAUUAAAGCUGGCCAUAUGGGCCAGCCCGUGAUCACCGAAUUGACACGGCACGCGAUUAAAAGGGUCGGGUCGGGUCGGGUCGGCCUUUGGCCCACCAUGGAACAAGGCCUCUCUUGAAAGCCGGGCUUUAAGGUCGGUCCCGGCACGCUCCUUUUAAUUGUAGGCCAGCAUGACACCGGAACACGGCCCGUCUCGCUUGUAACUAGCAAAAGAGUCAUAGUAUUUUGUUUUGUAUUACUAGCAAAAGAGUCCGUGUGUUGCAACGGGAGAAGAAAAUACCACACAACCCUAACCCAAUAACCAUGACCAAGACCCCAAUAGGUCUUGCCGAGGCGUCCCUCUCGGCAUAAGAUGAGAAAUCUAUUUUUUUCAUGCAAGAUUUUGCCAAGGCAUACAUGCACGGUUAUCAACGAUUUAUUUAGUCUCCAAUUUGACUUUGAUGAGGUGUUCAUUGCAAUCCGGGUAGGUGCCGGUACGAAAGAAAGAUGGAUCGUGCGCUACUAAUUAAGGUUGCACCCUAAAUAGAAUUUAAAAAAAUUAACAUGUAUAAUAACAUCAUAUUCAUAUUCUACACAUUUUUCUAAUCAAAUUUCAUAUAUAACAUGUUAAAAUUGGAGUUAGAAAAAAUAUGGGUAUUUAAAAAAAUAUUAUUUAUUCUAGAUGGACUGCAGCUUAAUUAUAGAAACAGCAAGGGGUUUUCUACUAAAACAUAAAAAACGAUUCAUUUUCUGGGAGUGCGGGUUAUUUAGCAAAAAAGGGAGGGGUUUCAUUUGAAACAGUAAAAGUCGGUUCGUUUUCUCACUUAAAUGUGGAUGCGGGUUAAUUACCUGAAAACAGAGGGGUUUUUUGUAAAAAUGCUGAUGGUGAACGGGCAGAAGCAAUCGAUACUUUAUUAAUAGGUAUAGAUAUUGAUUAUUUUCUUAAAAUUUUCAAUUCUUUUGUUUUUCCUUAAUUUUUUAGAUUUUUUUUCAAUCUGAAAAAACAAAAGGCAUGAAGGCUCACCAAGACCAAAAGCAAUGCUGGCCGGCAUGCGGCAGGGCCGUGUCGGGCCAAUCCCCGUGGCCAGGUCUUUGGGCCGGCAUGCCACGGCCCUUUUAUAAAAGGGUUGACAUGGGCUAUGCUAGGCCUUUUUAGAGUCGAGUCGAGUCGGGCCGGGCCGGGCUGGGCCGUUCCCUGUGAUCAAAUUUUCUCGGUAUCCUGGACCUUUGAUGGGCUUCCCUGCCCCUUUUCCCCCCAAAGCCCGAAAUAUUUUUUUCGUCGUCGUUCUUGGUCACAUUUUUUAUUGUUGCCCGAAGGCAUAAGGAGUCACGGAGUUUCAAAUUGAACAAAAUCACCAUAGUCACCUCGUCAUCAUCAGAAGUCGCUAGCUAGAAUCUGUUUGAUGGAUGGUUUCAUCACAUGUCACUAUACAAAAGAAUGAAAAAAUGGAGGAAUAGUCAAGUUGAAGGAAGAGAGGUGGUGCUGUGAGACUUGCCCUUGUGGCGAUUGGCUCUUGUUGACUCUCCCUUUCCCGAGGGCUCCUCCACCCCCUUCACCGUUGGCCUCUCUCUCUCUUGUUUCUUCGGCGAUCGAGGAUGGAGAGAGUGGUCUGGUUCUUAUAGUGUGUUAUGUAGGUCGUCUUUCUUAUUGAAUAACUAGAUAUGUUGUGUGAUGUCGUCCUUAAAGCGGUCUUGACUGUGGCCACGGAGGUUGGGUUGGUGACCGACCAGUGUGGGACACUUGGUUGGAUCUGACACACUGGUUAAGGUUUCGCUGAUGUGGUUCCUAAUCUGGAGGAAUGCGUGCAUCUUUUGCUUUUUUUAGGAAUAAACUUUCUGAUCUAUUCAUCAAAUGUCAAGGUAGUACAAAGAACAUCAGAAGUAAAAAUUACAUACAGGUCUGUAUACCACAUAACGACGACUAUAAGCAUUGGAGUGAGACGAAGGUGCAUUGUCGUCGUCAUCCCUCCAUCACCGAAGCUAGGCAAACCUUGGUAUAGUAUACAGUCGGGAGGUCAUCGUGCUAAGACCCUAGAGGACCAGCGCACCAGAACAACAACAGUCGCCGAUGAAGAGAAGUGUAGAUCGAAAGGAUCUAACCUGUGGACACACGAACAUAGACGAACGGAGACUGGAUCCAAGUGGAUCCACAUAAGACAAAUGUCGACCGAAUCUCAUGAGAUCCGCUAGAGAUAAACCUCCGCAUGCCCUCUGACGACACGAGAAGCACCACUGUUACAUCUUCAGGAAGCCGCCUGUUACAAAUGGAUGGGGAUGAGGAUGAUGAUCAAGCCCUUUUAACGUACCGUAGCAACGCCGAAGUCCUUGGAUUGAUUCUCCCUUCGGAUGCCCUCCGAAGGCUAGGGUUAUGAGAUAUGUAUGUGUUUUUGGUGGUUUUGUGCGUCUAUUCUCGAUCCGACUCUAUGGGGUGGAACCGUGGAAGUAGUGGACGAGGAGGCGGUUUUGGCGUGUCAUACGACCACGCAUACGAGCUCGUGCGCUCAUAUGCUAGGACGUCUUGCGCUUUGGACCAGCCACAGUGCCUCCUUCUUUCUCCCUUCGCUUUAUUCAUGUUGUUAAUUAUCACAUUCAUUAACAUGAUUCCACCAUAAUUUCCUAGAGUUCCUUCCAAUAGGUUUAUUUAUUCUAAAAGACAUUUCCUGGAAAACCGAUGCAAAGCAACGCACGGAAGCAGUAAAAUUCCACAAAGCCUACCAUGCAGGCACAAAAUAACUAUUAAUAUUAUCAUAUAUUUUGGACUCAUCAGCCGCGGGUGUAGAGGAUGAUGCGGCUGCUAUCCCCCAAGCCCCAGCCCCCCCCCCCCUCGGAGUAGCUGCUACUGCUGAUGCAUCACCGUGGCGGCGGCAACAAACGAGGAUGUGGAUGAUGAUAAUGCAGACGGCGGUGCUCAUGAUGUGACUAGCACGCGCAUGCUACGUGUCAUUGGGGCAGACUAUAUACAGCUAGUCAUAGGUCUUCGCGGCCGUCUUCACCACGUAGCCCAUAGAAUUUCACACGCUAUUGAUAGUGAUUUUUGACAUAGUAGUGGCACUGACACAAGCAUUGUUGUGAGUUGUCUUGUUGGAUUGCUAGGUAGUAGUGUCGAUGGUAGAUGUAUAGUGACAAACAUUUCUCACGUGUUUUUUGAAGAUAAAGGCGGACACUGACUAUUUGUAUUAAACUUUUAUAUUUUCCUAAUAUAUCAAACCACAAUUUUAAGUUCUUAACUAGCAUAUUUUUAUUGUUUUGUUAGCAUAACUAAACACACGACAGUGAUGCUAAGUGUUAAUAUUUAUAUUACUUGUUAUACAGUUCGAAUAUACAUCAUUGAAUAACACACUUGCGUAGCACAAAUUACAAAAGUGUACAUUUGGCAACAAAGUUAUGCUAGUUUUUUUCAAGGCAUUGAUCUUUAGUUAAACGCAAUCCAUGGAUUUGAUUAAACAAAAAGGAAUAAAAUCACAUAUCUCUCUGAACUAAUUUGUGUCAAUUGCAUUCAUUAUAUUAUGCUAUAUUUCAGUGUGUAUGUACUCACAUAUAUUUGUGGAUGCUUAAAUAUCUUGGGUAUAGAUCCUAAAGUGUAUGGUUUAUCAAUAAAUGUUGAUAGUGGUUCAUUGUGUAAAUUAGUUACAAGGAAAUUGAAAGUUCUAGAAAAAAUAAGGUGUUUAUAAAGAGCGUGAUGUCUAAUAGUUGUCAUUGCUGUUUUAUCGAGUUCUUUUUUCUACUAAAAUGUUUCUCACGUCCAGGUGAGUUCAAUAAUGUGAUCUUUUCUAAGUGAUAAAAUCGGCUCCAGAUUGGAUGGCUCUCAGUUCUCCGCAUCAUGUGAACUAGAACACCACAUGUAGAAAUAUAAAUCACAAAAGAAAAAAAGAAAAAUUUAAAGUCAGAGACACCCAAGGAGAAGAAGCCCUAAAGAAAGAUGUAAGCCCACUGAUGACGACCGGCCAAGGUAGCCUCUCACCAUGGAUCAAGUGCAUGGACCAAAUAAGACUGAAACAACCUUACUUUUCUUUAUAUUUAGGGAAAUUUUAGGUGUUUUUAGAAUAGACGUCUUUGCCCUUGCUUUUCGCUCCGGCAAUGUUAGUGGGGAUUCGUGCAAGGCCAAGUGCCUAUAAAAUGAAUCACAUGGUUCACUUGUAAGUGAUCACUCAUUUUGAAAUCAAAGUGCUCUCAUAAGAUGUGAAAUAUAAGGUUUCUUGACAGAGUCCACUUAGACGAUCGUAGUUAAUUGAAUUUUCACCAAGCUCCAAACUUGGAAUGGAAUGUUCAAGAGGAAAGCUUGCCUUGUGUUUGACAUAGUGGCCGAUGACAUAUCGCCGAAUAUCUGAGUGUACUCGAGGUACAAUUCUCAAAUUGAUUACACCUUUCUCAUCUGGGAGUCGCGGGCGAACCUACUAGUUAAAAACCACCGUUGCCAAUUAUCGCGAGUAUACAUCAACCUGUUCCGCAGCCCCAAUAUACGCGGGUUAUUGCCAUUGCUGAUUGUGCUGGUUCGUACCAUCUUAGCAUGUCGAUCCAAUCAAUGACUAAUAAAAAUGACCUUGAAAGUUUACCCUACUGGUAAAAGAUUAUUCAGUCAUGGUGGUCGCGACGUCAAUAUGGAACCUGUUAUUCACAAUUCUAUUUCUUGCGCUAACUAAAUUCCUAAUUGCUAGACAUCCAUCGUCAGCUAUUUUUCCAUGAAAUCCUAGCCCCAGCUACUUCGACCAUCCAAUGCUCAUUGUGAUUCACACCAUUUUUUGGGAAGAGAAUGUGGUUCACGCUGUUUUUUAGAGAACGGGAGAGUUUUAUUGUUUAGUUAUGUUUACGAGGAUACAAGUGGGGUCAGGAGGCCCCGAUAACCAAACAUGCAUGUCUAUCUUCACUAAAGGAACAUAGAGAACUUUGCUAAAGCAUGCACAUCCCUAUUAACCUCUAUUCGCUCAUGGUCAAAGAUGACUAACCGGCCAGAGCAUAUCCUUUCAAUUAUCAGUUUCCUUCAGAAUCGAGCCGUAGCUGGUGAGCCUAUUUCCCGGGUGCAGAUUCUCAAAUUCAAGCACUCUGAGACCGGUUGGAUGUUAUUCACUAAAGACAUAUAUAGCUUCACAUAUUGAUGCGGCUUCCAAUAUUUCCAGAGAUAUUAUGCCCUCAAUCACUUUGGCUAAGGCAGCCAUUAUAUUCUCACCUCGGCACACCGCUGCAGAAGUGCUACAAUUUCCAUUCAUCCCAGCAUCUUCAUAGUGAUUUUGGGUGAUUUUCAUCGGGUAAGAACAUUUAUUACGUAGUCCGUUUCCUAUACACGAAGUUGCAGUCGCAUUGAAGACAUGCAGUUGCAAUGGGGACGACAUUUUCAGUUGUGUGCCUAGUGGCACACAUGCAACUACCCCCUUCCCCCGACAAAGCAUCACAAAGUUAAAGUUAGGGCCUAGUGACAGACAUGCAACCGCCCCUUCCCCGUCAAAAAUAUGUCAGGAUGGAAAAUCACGUUGAAGACACGCGACACUUGCAGUUGCAUGCCUAGUGACAAGUACCCCUCCAGACAAAACAUCACAGAGUUGUAGUUGGGACACGACACUUACAGUUGUGUGCCUAAUUAUAGACACGCAACUGCCCCCUCCCUCGACAAAACACCACCGAAUUGCAGUAGGGGCACAACACUUACAGUUGUGUGCCUAAUGGUAGACAUGCAACUGUACCAUCUUUGGGCAAAACACCACAGAGUUGCAUCGAGGCACAACACUUACGGUUGUGUGCUUAGUGAUGGACAUACAACUGCCCCCGCCAUCGCCAUUGACAAAAGAUCACUAAGUUAUAGUCACAUUGAAGAUAUAAAAUUGCAAUCGAGUGCGAUUGUGCAACCGCAUGGCAAUAUUUUAAAUUUUCAAUAAAUAUAAAAAUAUAUUGUUAAUAAAAAAUAAGAAUCAAAAAGUGUAGCAAUAAUCGCAAAAAAGUUUUGAAAGAGAAAAUUAAAAUUAGAAACAAGAAAAUGGUGAAAAUAUAAAAUGACACAUACAUUUAAAACACUCACAAGAAAAUAAAAAAAAGUUUAGAAGGAUACAAGGUAGCUGCCCCCGAACUUACAUACAUCUCUCUGGACCGCAAUUAUAUCUUGCUUAUAGCGAGGCCCCCACAUGUAUAUACCAGGCUGGCAUUUUUUUCAUCUUUUUUUUUCUCGUUUGCCGGUUUUGUUCUCAAGGUUUCAUUCGCUAUUGUUUUCUUUCUAUUUCUUCACUGGUUUCCUAGUUUUUCUAUUUUUCUUUGUUUUUUCAUCGGUGUUCAUCGUUUCGUUCCUGUUUUAAUAAUUUUUUUAUUUUUUAUUUUCCUCUGUUUUAGCAGGUUUUCUUUCUUUCUUUAUUUCUUUCUAUUAACUAGUUUUCUUUUUUUUCUCCAUUUCCGUUCUGUUUUCUAUGGUAUGUUUUUGUUUUCUUGUCGGUUUUCAUUGGUUUGUUAACACAUGUCUACUUUACGUCUAAUUUUCUUCAGUACACAAUGUACAUUUUUAGUGUACACGUAAAACAUGUUUUGAUACACGAUGAACUUUUUCAAUGCAUGAUGUGCAUCUUUAUUUUAAUACAGAUUUUAAUCAUUUUUAAUGCAUGGUUAAUAUUUUUUCAAAUACGAAAAACGUUAAUUUUUACGGUGAUAAACAUUCUUUUAUUGCACUAACAUUUUUCUUCACAUUUCUUUACAUUUUUCUAAAACUGCGCAAACAUUUCUUUACAUUGUAUAAAUACUUUUUUCUAAAAUGUGAGAAGCUUUCUUCAAAAUUUCAUGCACAUAUUUUUAGUGGUAUAAAUCAAUUUUUGUACUACACAGAACCUUUUUCACAUUUUCCAAAAGUUUCAUACAUUUGCCUGGAAUGUUGGAACAUUUUUCGGUGCUAUCAACACUUUCUUUAAUUGCACUAACAUUUUUUAUACGGUAUUAACAUUUUUCAUAUUCAUUAAUAUUUUUUCUUUUUAUAUUUAAUUAAGUAAUUUAUAUAAGUAGGGCACAUGUAAACAGACCCUUGUUUGAAUGAGCAUGCAUGGCACGUUGUGCAGAGGCUGACACGACUCCCAUCGUCUCAAAAUACUUAUCUUAGAUUUGUCUAGAUACAUACAGAUAUAUCUAAUAUUAAAAGUUAUUGAUACAUCAUUUAAACAAAUCUAAAACAAAAAAUUUGGUAUAAAUUGAAGACAAGAAUUUUGGAAAUCCCUCUUAGAUACAGAUGUACCUAAACGUUGUAUCUGUAUUUAGAUAAAUCUAAAACAAGAAUUUUGGUAGAUAAAUCUAAAACAAAAAUUUUGGUAUCUGUAUUUAAAUAAAUCUAAGACAAGAAUUUUGAAGCAGCUUCUAGACCCUGUAGCCCGGGCCGGCCGUGUCCUGUCCUCGCAGGAGGAAAAGACUACCAUCAUCGGUCUGCAUAUGGGACGUGCGGCCACAGAUUGGAGAAGAAUUUGAUAUUGUAUACUAUCAAACGGGAAAACAAACGGGUGCCCAUUCGCCGAGUACGUAGCAGCUGUACGCACGGCACGGCACUUCACUGCACAAUACACAUCGAUGCUACUAUGUAUCCACAGUAUAUAUGUACUGAGCAAGCAGCUAAAAGUAGCUUCUGCAGAAAGAACACACACGGUUGCACUUGCAAUUGGGCACAACACAACACAAACGGAUUUGUAGAGUAGUAGUACUAAAUUAAACAAGUGCAGCCAUUCAUCCACACCCAGACAUGCAUUGCAAUUGUCUGGUCGGAGAAUGAAGAAGCAUAGCAUGGACUGAUCGAUCUCCAUCUUGAUCUCGGACUACAUAAUAAACACAAAACACACUAAGAAGAAGGGCCCAUCCUGCAGCACUACACAUGUACGCACGCACGCCGUCACUACAUGCCUACCGUGCACACCAUGUCUGCAUACAACGUACGCUCACACCAUACGGGACGGAACACACACACACACACACACACACAUACAUACACCUUAUUAUCCGCCCGUCACUGUCUACCGCCAAGCGAUGGAGCACGGUGCCGGUGUCUCUACCCGAUUCAGACCCUGGCUACGCCGCCGGUGCCCAUGCCCUUGUUGUGCGGGUCGCCGCCUGCGCCGUACGCAUGCUCCGCCGGGUACCCGCCAGCAUGGUUGCCACCCAACUGGUUCCCGAAGAGGCCGGAGUGCAGCGCCAGCACGUAAAGCAGCUGCGUGAAGGCCAGGAUAAUGACGAACGCCUCCAGCACCCUGAGGCGCCACCCGCGGUACCCGCCGAUGUGGAUCUCCUUGCACGCCAGCCCGAACGCCAAGGCGGUGAUGGCCCAUGCCACGAGCGAGGACGAGGCGGAGGUGGCGAGGCUGUCGCCGCGCCAUGUGCGGACGUGGUGCACGCCGGCGAGCUUGGAUGCGGCGCCGACGACGCCCGCGAGGAUGGCAAAGACGAGGAAGUAGAAGGUGGCUCCGUUGCCGCCGACGCCGGGGCGGUUGGUGAGGCCGUUGAUGAAGUGGUUGAGGUUCCAGCUUGCGAAGCCGAUGACAAUGAGGUACAUGAUGAGGUUCAGCACCAGCAGCGGCGCCACCAUGUUACGACCCACGCCCGCCAUUGCUACUGCCUGUUGCUAUGCUAGCUAGCUUCCUCUCCUUGGUCGAGAUCGAGAUGGAGAUGGAGCUCUCGCACUCAGUGGAUUGGCUUUGGUGGACUGAUGGUUAGAUUAGCUAACGACGUAGCGAGGAGAUUGAGGGCAAGAGCAAGAGGAAGAAUCGAAUGGAGAAAGUGAUUAUUUCUGGAUGAGGUGGUCGAGUGGAGUGUAGUCGGAUUAUAUAUAGAUAGGUGUGGUGCUAGAGGGCGCGUGUGAGGGGACACGCGUGAUGCGCCGCUUACAGGUGGGAGGACACGUGCCGCAUGGGCUUUACACGUACGGUAGUUGCUUCCAGUAGCCGUUGGCAGCCUACUGGUGGUUCCGCUUGGCGAGAAGCGUUCCUGGCCACUAGAUAUAGACGGUCUAUCUAUCAACCGAAUCAGCUCACGUCGUGGGUACACUUUGCUUCGGUGUCUUUCUUUUUAGUAACAGGAGACGGUCCGAUGGAUCCAGAAACAUCUUUUUUUAAGAACAAAGGCUUUUGAAGGGUCCGACUUUGAAUUACUGGCUCAUGGGCUUUGUAUUAACAAAGUCAUCAACCGGCUAGGAGUACAACGGCCAAACGAGUACAACGAGGAUCACCGUAAAGCAAACACAAACUGCAUCCUCCAUAAGCAGCUAAAGAAAUGAAUAUACAGAUUACAAUUUGCUAGAGGCUGAGCACUUCACACUAGCUAGGAUCAUAGAAAUCAAGGACGGAGCUGCAGAGCGGGACAUAGCCACCGUCGAAAAUGGACCUUGCACCAAGAACACCCGUGGGGGGAGCGGACACGGCAUCUUCCUGCUUUGUCACUGAAGAGGGACCCUACCCCCUCGCCAUGGCUCGAGGAGCCGUACCGUCGGGAUUCCAAGAAGCUCACUCAAGACCAAAAGAAUGCUGCGCUCGCAACGACAGGUGAACAUUGCGCGACCACCUCGAAUUGGGAAAUUCCGUGCUUGCAACUUUGCCACAGUCCACGCCCAACUAGUUGGAGGAAGGGAACUUCAUGGAUUCGGACGCCGAAGGGGAGGCAGCAGGGAACCGAGCUAAGGCAAGAUGCAAGGUAAACAGAGCACCAUCUUUGCGAAGACCCGGGUGUCUCCGGUUUUUGUCACGCCACUGCCACCGGGAAAGGGAACCAUAUCCCCUUCUGUCGGGGUCGAGACGUCGCACCGCCGGGACUGAGUGACGCAAACUGCCACUGGAGAGGCACCAACCUAUAGAUACCUUGGUGCCUACCACCCGCAGCACACCGCCCCGGCUCGAAACGCAAGCAAACAUCAGCCCCUCAACCCGCAGAACCUCCCAUCCGAGCCCCUUCGCCCUGACGAUGCCUCCAGGAAGGUCACGACGUGUACGGCGGCGCCGCCGCCAAAUCUGAAGUGGGUUGACGGUUUUCACCCGGGCAGGGGGUCAGGGUGGACAGCUGGGAACCUCAGCCAUGCCUCCAUGGAGGAAAGUGGCGCCCUUGGGCGUCGUCGCCGCCGGGCCGGACUGGCCAAGGUUUUCCCCGGGCCCCAAGUAGACCACUAGCACGCACCAUCCUGGAGCCGGCAAACAUGCAAGCCACACGAACGGCGUGAGAGAGGCAGCAGGAUAGAGUGGAGACGAACCUCCAGAUCUGACGUAGAAAGAGCUCCGCGCCGCGACCGUACUCCACCAGCGACCUGAUACGUCCAUUUUACACAGUGUUAUCCUACUGUUAUUUAUAAUGUUUUGGUCAUUAUUUCACUUUAUGAUACAAUUUUAAUACCUUUUCUCUUUAAUUUGCAAGAUCUACAUGCAGAGGGAAUUUGCCGGCAGCUGAAAUUUUAAACCUAAAAGAGCUACAAUAGAUAUAGCUAUUCUACGAAGCUUCACAUGGCCUGAAACUUUACGGAGAUUUUUAUUAAAUAUAUAAAAAUACCGAAACGAAGAAAUACCAGAGGGGGGCCACCUGCUGCCCAGAAGGCAGCAUGGCACGCCAUACCCCCUAGAUGCGCCCUGAUGCCUUGUGAGGCCCGCAACUGUCCUCUGGCCUCCUCUUUCUACAAUAUGAAGCCAUUUUCCCUAAAAUGAGCUUGCAUGUUGGUUUUACUUGGUUAGAAGUAUUUUUGAUGCAUGGUUUAGUCUCUAGAUACUUAUGGGAGUAGUUGCUAUCAAUUUCAUUGAUUGUUGUUCACUUUUUAUGAGCUGUCUAAAUUUUUAGAAAAAAAAGGAGAUGUUGAGGAGAGUGUUCUCAAGAGGCUUCAAGCCAGAUUUCCGAGGGAACUUUUGCGAGAAACACCUAGGUGCAAUCUUCCUUGUAAUGCCAAGGUACGGUCGUGUGAGUGGUCGUGCAAUACCUUCAUGGUUGGGGUUGGUUUCCACAUGAGUUUGAGCAAUACGUGGAGAAUGCGGGUUUGAACACCUUCGCUGAAGAUAAGUGCAACCAAUACCAGCUCCUUAUGAAUACUUUUGUGCAAAAUUUCAGAUUCUCAACUAGACAACAUGAGCCUAGUGUUUUAUUUCAUCUUUAUGAUCUAAUCUUCAAGAUAUAUUUGGUCGAAUUUUAUUAAUGUGUGCAUGAUUCCUGUUGAGGACAGGAUAGGUGAAUCUCGACCGGUGUCGUGGUUCUAAGUCUGACAGUAGAAUGGGGGGUAGGGAUGUAGAUGCAAGAUCCUAGCUAUGGAGAAGUUGUACGCACAAGCUUUACGAGUUCAGGCCCUUCUCGAAGGAAGUAACAACCCUACGUCUCGAAGCCCGGAGGCGGUCGACUGGAUUAUAUGCGUGUGUGUUACAGGGGGUGCGAACCCUUGUCCCAGAGGAGGGGGGUGGCUUAUAUAGAGUGCGCCAGGAACCCAGCUCCCCUCCGUUACACAGGGUUCAAUGUUCAUAAAGAAGGAGCGUUACAGGUAACGUCCGUAGUAAAGUGCUAUAAAUGACUAUUAAGUCUAAGGGUAAAUGCCCGACCGUUGCUGCGCGGAGUGGCUUUAGGUCUUCUGCACGUCGAGUGGUUUAGUGGUCGAGUGACCUAAAUAAGGGGGGGUCUCCGAGUGAAUGGUAGGUCGAGUGGAUUGCACUCGACACCUUUGUUGGGUCCCCUCUAUUUACUCUUGAACCUCUUUGCUUCUAGGACAAGGACCUUAGGUAGGACGCAUAGGUCAGGCCUAUUACCCUACCCCAGGUCUAUGUCCUCAUCAUUAGCCCCCGAAUGGAUUGAGGCCCGAGUGAAAAGAAGGUUGAAGUUGACCUUGCUUUGACUCUUGCUGUCAUCUCCAAAUGGAUGCCAGUUGUUGGAACUUCGGCUUCGUUUCAGUCGCCUUGAUCGAUUCAGAAAUGGCCGACUGGUUUUUAUAACGUCAUCCGUUGAGUGUUAUCCUUGACAUGAAAUCUUUGGCGUGAUCGGUUGUAGAGGAUCCCGGAUUUCGCGGGAUUCAAAAUUUUGGUGGAAGCGCGCCAGGCGAAGCGCGCCGUGGUAAGCGGAGUAGAUAAAAUAGGAUGUUUCGAUUUCCGCGCCACCUUUUUCGCCACGUAUCCCGUGUGCGACUGUUAAGGGAUUUGACAGGAUCAUUCGGGCCCACGCGCCAGCCACUCGGAAGUAGGCCUUUAAAAGUGGCGAGGCCGAGGCGUCCGCACUGUGCGUGCCCAUUCUCCUUCUUCUUCCUCUUGCUCCUUUACCUCGUUCAGCUUCUCCACUCUCGACGCCGCCGCUCCGCCGCCAUGGGGAAGGAGAAAACGGCGGCGCUGGAACGCGCGAAGAAGGCGACGGGGGCGGCGAAAAGCAAGAAGACGAAUCGGGGAUCUUCAUCGCGCUCGGGGCUGCCGUCGGGUUGGAUCCAGGGAGAUUGGAUCCGAUCCUCACUUCGGCAGGAAGACUUGGACGAUAUGGCCGAGUUAGGGCUGAUCGUCCAUGAGUCCGCGCGGCUGCCGGAGGGGGAAACGGAGCCACAGCCGCGACCGGGUGAGUGUGUUCUGCUCGCUACUCAUGCCGACCGCGGCUUCUCGCUUCCUCCACACCCCUUCUUUCGAGGUUUCUUGAAUUUCUUCGGGGCUCAACUCCAUCAUUUCACUCCCAACACCAUCACAUACCUUGCCUCAUUCGUGUCCAUGUGCGAGAAUUUCCUGGGGUGUCGACCGCACUGGGGUCUUUUCAAGCACAUUUUCACCAUCCGCUCCCAAACAGUGAAGAAAGCGAACUCGAACGACGAGAAAACCCAUGUUAUCCAGAUGUGUGGGGGUCUGGGUGUUCAGAAGAGGAAGAGGAGUUCCUUCCCUUCGAUGACUCUUCCUGAGUCGGUCAGGGGCUGGCAGUCGACCUGGUUCUAUUGCCAGGAUAUCAUGACCCCAGGCCAGUCGACUGGACUCCCCCCUUUCUCUUUUGAUCGUGUUCAAACUCCAUCUUCGUUGAAAGUGACCGCUGCGGAGAAGGCGGAGACGGGCAUGCUGGUCGAGAGAGUAGUUCAACUGAUCAAUCAAGGUGUCACCGGCAUGGAUCUGCUGGAGGUGUUCCUCAGUCGGCGCAUUCAACCACUCCAAGCUCGUGACCACUCCAUGUGGAUGUACUCCGGGGCUGGUGAUACCGCUCGGGUUCAUCCGGAGGAGGUGGCGGCCAAAACAGUGGCCCAGUGGCUGAGGGGCAUCACCGGGAACAAGGACAACCCUAGGGGCGCCAGGAGAGUCAACCCUUUCAGCGACAACAACCAGCCAGACAAGGUUUGGCCACUACAACUAAUUGAAUUUGGAUGUGUUUUCUGACUGUUUGUUGAUCCGACUGAUUUCCAGUCGGCUCCUUGUUUUGUAGAUAUAUACAGAGAUGUACUCAAUGCCCAAUGGCGAACAAGCUCUGGAGCAGGACCAUGAAGGCGAGGACAGCGCGGAGGAGAGCGGCGAGUGGGAGUCACCAGCCGACGAUGAUGAAGAUGAGAGCGAUGAGUCGGACGACGAGGAGGUAGCUGACUCACCACCUCGUUCUGAACGUCGAUCCAAGCAGCACCAUGAUCCCGCGGGCAGGCGCGGCAAGGCUGUGGCCUCGAGCGCUCCAUCUCAAAAGCGCGCUCGAUCUUCGACUCCAGAAUUGGCUGAGAAGGUCACCAAGCAGCCCAAGAUCAAUCAUUCGAAGGCUCGGAAGACCUUGCCUAGAAUCAGGAUGGACGUUCCUGUUGCUUCUGGGUAAAUGUUAUCCCGUAUUUUCUUGUUCUGACCGAUUCUCUUGUACUGACCGAGUGGAUGAUGAACCUUUACAGCCCGGCCUCGGCUGCGACUGAUAUGGAUAUCGACAAGACCCCAGACGACGAGGAAACCGACGACGCAGCUACCUCCAAAGCUAGUAAGUCCGCCUGACUCGAAUUUAUUUGGACGACUGGAUUGUUUGUCAGCUAUCUCUUUGACUUUCUCUGUUUGUUGCAGCACCACGGGACGUUGUUGUGCUCCCGGACGAUGAAGAAGAAGUACCGCUGAGGGGAAGGAGGAGGAGGGACAAGGAACUGAGCGGGAAAGCGCCUGAGGCCCAGGUUCCUCAGUCGACUGAGAUGCCUGGGACGACAGUCGAGUGAUCGACAGAUCCGGCACGUACCAAUGUCACUUUCGCUAUCCCGCUGUCGACUGAUUGCCCAUCAGGAUCAGCUGCUCAGACCUCUGCUGCACCAAUACAACUCCAUGCAUCAGACCCAGCGGUUGCUCCGACUGCUCUGUCAUCAUCGCUUUUCACUGCGUAUCAAACCCCGGACGACCCACCGACUGCCGCCAAGGAAGCUCUUCUUCAGUUGAACCUUGUGAUGGGGCAAAUGAAAGUGGUGCACGAGACCAGUCAGGUGGCCUUCAAUGCCGGAGCUGCUCUGCAGACCAAUGUCCAGGUUAGUUGAUUUCUGAUUGAUCAUAUUUCUCAUCCAAUCACCCACUGGGGUGUGACUAUCUUGAUGUUGCACGAGUCAAUUUGAGUCGUCUUGAAUUGAAUCUUUGAACUAGUGGGGGCACUCUUAGUGCACCCACUGGGUGUAGUCCCCGAGACCAUAGUUGACUGCGGGCAGUCGACUGUGGUCUGAGAAUCUGAAUUUUGUCACUCGGUCUGGACUGGCCAGGUCGAAUGACACCAGAACCAGUGGGGGCAUGCUAUGUGCACCCACUGGGUGUAGUCCCCGAGACCGUGGUUGACUGCGGGCAGUCGACUAUGGUUUGAGAACUGUUUUUUUACUCUCGCGCUGGGCAGACCAUGUCGAGUGUUUAUUCAAACCAGUGGGGGCACGCUAAGUGCACCCACUGGGUGUAGUCCCUGAGACUGUCGUUGAAUGUUUGAUUCGGCGGUAGUCUUAGAGUAGCUAUCACUGUGAUGUCUUUUUAUCUCGAUCAACUGACAUGGCUUAUACUGCAGAAAUCUUGUGAUCUUGGGGCUCAGCUUUCCACAAUGAACAAGCAGCAAAUCAGUCUCAACCUUGAUCUGGAAUUGGCCAAGAAGAAUCUCAAGACUGCUCGUGAUGAAGUAGCUGCCAUGGGAGGUAACCAAUCGUCAACUGUCUUUCUCACUGCUGGCCCUUUUCCUUUCCAUUUUUUGAACCGAGUGACUCCACUCGAGCAGAUGUAUGUAGUGAAAACCGUCAACUCCAAGCCCGUCUGAAGAAUGUUAUUUCUUUAGAGAAAAUGAAGCAGGCUUUGGAGAAGAAGGAUCUGGAUCUUGCUUCUGCACGGAAGGAAGCGCGAGCGAAAACGGCGCUUGCUGACAAGAAGCUUGCUUCAGUCGGCAAGUUAGAAGAGGAGAACUCCAAACUGAAGACUGCUGUCUCUGACGCCAAUCGGGAGGUCGAGCGACUGAAGAAAGACAAGGACAAGCUGACUGACGAGCUUGGGAGCCUCAAUGCCAAGAAGGGCGAGUUGGAGUCUUAUUUGGGCCAGCUUGCUGCAAAGCUGGUCCUAAAACUUGAAGGUACUGAUGAUUGACUGACUUAUUACGGUCGACUGUCAAGCUUGAUUAUAUCGUCGACUCACCAUUUACUCAACUGUGUAGAGCUUUUCCAAGACUUUGAAGCGGAAAUUGGGCGGGUCGAGACGGGUCUCGAUCCCAUAAAUUGUCCAGUCAAGGAUGAUGUUGCGAUGAAUGUGCUGCGGUUGGAAUCUCGCAUGGACAGCGCGGUUGCUUAUCUUGCCCGCCUAAAGGCAGCGAUGACUCGGGUUGAUACUGAACUCUGGCCUCAGGCGGAACUGUCUCAAGACCUCGAGUCUCUGAUGGCUCGACUGAAUCAAAUACCUGACCGAGUGCAAGAGUGGAAGAAGUCAUCUGCUCGCUGUGGCGCUGAUGUCGCGUUGUCCUUGGUCCGAGUGCACUGCAAAGACGUCAAAGAAGACAAGCUGGUGGAGCUCAAGGUUGCUAACACAAAGAGGCACACCUUCCAAUCCUUCAUGGACACUUUCCUUGACGCCGCCACUUGCAUUGCAGACAGCAUAGACCUUGACAGUUUGUGCGACCUAGCUAGUCCUUCUCCUGACGCGUGACCGAGAAACAUUAUGCUCCACCUUUAUUUGCCUCGGAAUGCCGAGUGAUUAUGUAAUCGUUAAACUUCUUCGGGCUUGAUGCUCGAAUACUUUUGAUCCGUCGUCCGGAACUUUAGGAUUUAUCUGAACUUGGUUUAUCUCUGAAUAUGCUUGUGUUUGCCUUCGAGUGGAAUUCGCUUUUCAAUUGGAAUAAUCUUUGUACUUGAGAUGCAGCUAUUGUACUUAUGGCGCAGCUCCGAGGAGAAGGUUGCAGUCGACCUGCACCUCGCCGUCCUUGCAGAUAGGGAGGGAGCACACGUUGUACUUGUGGCGCAGCUCCGAAGGAGAAGGUCGCAGUCGACCUGCACCUCGUCGCCCUUGCGGAUAGGGAGGGAGCACACGUUGUACUUGUGGCGCAGCUCCGAAGGAGGAGGUUUCAGUCGACCUACACCUCGUCGUCCUUGCGGAUAGGGAUGGAGCGCACGUUGUACUUGUGGCGCAGCUCCNNNNNNNNNNNNNNNNNNNNNNNNNNNNNNNNNNNNNNNNNNNNNNNNNNNNNNNNNNNNNNNNNNNNNNNNNNNNNNNNNNNNNNNNNNNNNNNNNNNNNNNNNNNNNNNNNNNNNNNNNNNNNNNNNNNNNNNNNNNNNNNNNNNNNNNNNNNNNNNNNNNNNNNNNNNNNNNNNNNNNNNNNNNNNNNNNNNNNNNNNNNNNNNNNNNNNNNNNNNNNNNNNNNNNNNNNNNNNNNNNNNNNNNNNNNNNNNNNNNNNNNNNNNNNNNNNNNNNNNNNNNNNNNNNNNNNNNNNNNNNNNNNNNNNNNNNNNNNNNNNNNNNNNNNNNNNNNNNNNNNNNNNNNNNNNNNNNNNNNNNNNNNNNNNNNNNNNNNNNNNNNNNNNNNNNNNNNNNNNNNNNNNNNNNNNNNNNNNNNNNNNNNNNNNNNNNNNNNNNNNNNNNNNNNNNNNNNNNNNNNNNNNNNNNNNNNNNNUCGGCGUGUUUCGAACUUAGACGAGUACUGGACUACAGCUAAGCCCCCGAGUGAGAGGGUUGCCCACCACUCGGUAGAGUUUUUCAAACUUAGGCGAGUACUGGACUGCAGCUAAGCCCCCGAGUGGGAGGGUUGCUCACCACUCGGUAGGAUUUUUCAAACUUAGGCGAGUACUGGACUGCAGCUAAGCCUCCGAGUGGGAGGGUUGCUCACCACUCGGUAGGAUUUUUCAAACUUAGGCGAGUACUGNNNNNNNNNNNNNNNNNNNNNNNNNNNNNNNNNNNNNNNNNNNNNNNNNNNNNNNNNNNNNNNNNNNNNNNNNNNNNNNNNNNNNNNNNNNNNNNNNNNNNNNNNNNNNNNNNNNNNNNNNNNNNNNNNNNNNNNNNNNNNNNNNNNNNNNNNNNNNNNNNNNNNNNNNNNNNNNNNNNNNNNNNNNNNNNNNNNNNNNNNNNNNNNNNNNNNNNNNNNNNNNNNNNNNNNNNNNNNNNNNNNNNNNNNNNNNNNNNNNNNNNNNNNNNNNNNNNNNNNNNNNNNNNNNNNNNNNNNNNNNNNNNNNNNNNNNNNNNNNNNNNNNNNNNNNNNNNNNNNNNNNNNNNNNNNNNNNNNNNNNNNNNNNNNNNNNNNNNNNNNNNNNGAUUCGCGGCUAAGCCCCCGAGUGGGAGGGUUGCUCACCACUCGGUAGGAUUUUUCAAACUUAGGCGAGUACUGGACUGCAGCUAAGCCCCCGAGUGGGAGGGUUGCUCCUCACUCGGUCGGUUUUUUCAAACUUAGGCGAAACGGAUUCGCGGCUAAGCCCCCGAGUCGGAGGGUUGCUCACCACUCGGUAGGAUUUUUCAAACUUAGGCGAGUACUGGACUGCAGCUAAGCCCCCGAGUGGGAGGGUUGUUCACCACUCGGUAGGAUUUUUCAAACUUAGGCGAAACGGAUUCGCGGCUAAGCCCCCGAGUGGGAGGGUUGCUCACCACUCGGUAGGAUUUUUCAAACUUUAGGCGAAACGGAUUCGCGGCAAAGUCACCCACUUGGGGAUUUCAGACGCAAACAAAAGCAACAACAACCAUUUAGGAAGACUGUAAAGCUCUUGUCUUUGAUAAACAAACUACAAAGGUAUUUCUUAUUACAUCUCAUCUGAAUGAGUACUUAAGUAUAAAAGGGGCGGAGCAGCUCCGCGUUCCAAGCCCGUGGCUCGUCUUUCUGAUGCUCGACAUUGUAAAGAUGGUAUGCUCCAUUGUGGAGAACUCUGGUGACAAUGAAGGGACCUUCCCAAGCAGGGGCGAGCUUGUGUGGUUUCUGCUGAUCCACUCGAAGAACCAAGUCUCCCUCUUGAAAGGCUCGGCCCCUCACGUUUCUGGCGUGGAAUCGACGCAAGUCUUGCUGAUAAAUGGUUGACCGGAUUAAGGCCAUCUCUCUUUCCUCCUCUAGGAGAUCGACUGCGUCCUGCCGGGCCUGUUCUGCUUCGUCUUCAAAGAAGAGCUCGACUCGGGGUGCAUUGUGAAGCAAGUCACUCGGUAGAACAGCUUCAGCUCCAUAAACCAAGAAGAAUGGAGUUUGGCCAGUCGACCGAUUGGGAGUUGUCCUCAAUCCCCAAAGAACUGAUGGAAGUUCAUCGACCCAGGCGCCUGCUGCGUGCUUGAGAUCACACAUCAGUCGGGGUUUCAGUCCUUUGAGAAUCAAGCAAUUUGCUCUUUCUUCUUGUCCAUUCGACUGGGGGUGGGCGACUGAAGCAUAGUCGACUCGUGUGCCUUGGGAAGCAUAGAAGGCUCUGAACUCAUCAGAAUCGAAGUUCGACCCAUUGUCAGUGAUGAUGUUGUGCGGAACUCCAUAUCUGAAUGUCAAUUCUCUGAUGAAGCUGACGGCAGUACUGGCUUCAAGAUUCUUGAUAGGCUUGGCUUCAAUCCAUUUGGUAAACUUGUCGACUGCUACAAGCACAUGAGUGAAGCCGCUCCUACCAGUCCUCAGGGGUCCAACCAUAUCCAAUCCCCAAAUAGCAAAGGGCCAGACGAGUGGAAUAGUCUUCGGGGCUGACGCAGGCUUGUGGGACAUAUUGGAGUAAAACUGGCAGCCUUCACAUUUGUUGACUAUAUCUUUCGCCAUUUCAUUUGCUCGUGGCCAAUAAAAUCUAGCUCGGUAUGCUUUGGCCACAAUGGUCCGAGAGGACGCAUGGUGACCACAGGUCCCCAAGUGGAUGUCGUUGAGGAUCACCCGACCUUCUUCUGGUGUUAUGCAUUUCUGGCUGACUCCGGUUACGCUUUCCCUGAACAGUUGUCCUCUUAUCACAGUAAAGGCUUUGGAUCGACGGACGAUCUGUCGAGCCUCUUCUUCAUCCUCUGGGAGUUCCUUCCUAAGGAUAUACGCAAUGUAUGGCACUGUCCAGUCGGGAGUGAUGACCAAAACCUCCAUGAUCAGGUCGACCACGGCUGGGACUUCGACUUCAGUCGGAUCCGUGGCACUCUUAGGCUGCGGGGGCUCUUCAGUGAAAGGAUCUUCUUGAACUGAAGGUGUAUGAAUGUUUUCCAAAAACACGUUGCUGGGAAUGGCUUCCCUCUUGGAACCUAUCUUUGCCAAAUCAUCGGCUGCUUGAUUUUUCAGUCGGGGUAUAUGAUGGAGCUCUAACCUCUCAAACUUCUUUUCCAAUUUCCUCACCGCAUUGCAGUAACCAGUCAUAGCUGGGCUUCUGACGUCCCACUCCUUCAUCACUUGAUUGACUACCAAAUCUGAGUCGCCGUAGACCAUGAGGCGACGGACGCCGAGUGAGAUGGCCAUACGUAACCCAUAUAAGAGUGCUUCAUAUUCUGCUUCGUUAUUGGAGGAAUCAAAGUGAAUCUGGAGAACAUAUCUGAGCUUGUCUCCUCGGGGGGAUACCAGUACCACCCCAACACCGGAACCAUUCAGCAUCUUGGAACCAUCAAAGAACAUGGUCUAGUGCUCCGAGUGGACUUGAGUCGGCAGUUGCUGUUCGAUCCACUCGGCGAGGAAAUCUGCUAUUGCUUGGGACUUGAUAGCUUUCUUUGUCUCAAACUUAAUAUCCAAGGGAAGGAGUUCAAUCGCCCACUUUGCCACUCGACCAGUUGCAUCUCUGUUGUUCAGAAUCUCUGAUAAUGGAGCGUCGCUGACGACUAUAAUGGAGUGGUCAGAGAAAUAAUGUGCAACCUUCUUCGUGGUCAGAUAAAUCCCAUAAACAAGCUUCUGAUAAUGUGGAUAUCUUUGCUUUGAUGGAGUCAAAACUUCAGAAACAUAAUAUACUGGGCGCUGAACUUUACAGGCUUUUCCUUCUUCUUCCCGCUCGACCGUAAGUAUUGUACUGACGACUUGUCCAGUGGCUGCAAUGUAAAGCAGUAAAGGCUCUUUGCUGAUUGGGGCAGCAAGCACUGGCUGGGUGGAAAGCAGGGCUUUGAGCUCUGCAAAUUCUGCAUCAGCUUCAGGAGUCCACUCGAACUUAUCAGACUUCUUCAUCAGUCGGUAAAGAGGCAAUGCCUUUUCACCGAGGCGAGAAAUGAAUCGACUUAAGGCGGCCAAACAACCUGUAAGCUUCUGGACAUCGUGCACACGCAUAGGGCGUUUCAUUCGGAGAAUGGCACCAACUUUCUCUGGGUUAGCGUCGAUCCCUCGUUCGGAAAUGAGAAAACCGAGUAAUUUUCCGCCCGGAACUCCGAAUGUGCACUUUGAUGGAUUAAGCUUGAUAUCAUACCUUCUGAGGUUGGCAAAAGUUUCAGCAAGGUCAGCUAGCAGGUCGGAACCUUUACGUGACUUGACCACAAUGUCAUCCAUGUAUGCUUCCACAUUCCGACUGAUUUGAGUGAGUAAACACUUCUGAAUCAUCCUCAUGAAUGUGGCUCCAGCAUUCUUCAAGCCGAAUGGCAUGGUGACAUAACAGAAGCACCCAAAUGGGGUGAUGAAAGCUGUUUUAUCUCAUCAGGUCCGUACAGUCGGAUCUGAUGAUACCCGGAAUAAGCGUCCAAAAAGGACAAGCGCUCACACCCCGCAGUCGAGUCGACUAUUUGGUCGAUGCGGGGGAGAGGAAAGUGAUCUUUCGGGCAGGCCCGAUUGAUAUGCUUGAAGUCAAUGCACAUGCGAAGUGAGUCGUCCUUCUUGGGGACCAUGACAACAUUGGCUAGCCACCCGGAGUGGUAAAUCUCUCGGAUAAACUCAGCUGCUAGGAGCCGAGCCACUUCUUCACCGAUUGCUUUUCUCUUCUGUACGGCGGACCGUCGAAGAUGUUCUUUAACUGGUUUCACUUUUGGGUCGACUCGCAAACGGUGCUCAGCCAGCCCCCUGGGAACACCCGGCAUGUCAUAAGGUUUCCAUGCAAAGAUGUCCCAGUUCUCACGGAGGAACUGGAUGAGCGCUUCUUCCUAUUUGGAGUCGAGUGUUGUCAAAAUGUGAGUCGGAGCAGCAUGGGGAUCGGUCGGGUGAAUAUGAAUCGGCUUCGUUUCACCAGACGACUGAAAUGCUGAAUCCGUGGCAGGCUUCUUAGCUCGCAACAAAUCACUCGGAUCUGCAUUUUUUUGAUACUCCUGCAAUUCCACUACUGCCAUUUGCGCAUCGGCGAUCUUUGAGCCCUUCUGGAAGCACUCUUCUGCCUUCUUCCGAUUCCCAGUGAUAGUGAUCACUCCUUUAGGACCAGGCAUCUUCAAUUUGAGGUACACGUAGCAUGGUCGAGCCAUAAAACGUGCAUAAGCCGGCCUGCCCAGAAUAGCAUGAUAAGCACUCUGGAAAUCGACGACUUCAAACGUCAACUUUUCUUUGUGGUAAUUCUUGGAAUCACCGAAAACCACAUCGAGGGCGAUCUGGCCGAGUGACUCAGCCUUCUUGCCAGGAAUAACUCCAUGGAAACUCAUAUUGCUUUCACUGAGUCUGGACAUCGGAAUGCCCAUUCCUUUCAAGGUCUUCACAUACAGUAUAUUAAGGCCACUGCCACCAUCCAUCAGAACCUUAGUCAACCGAGUGCCUUUGACGACUGGGUCGACCACCAACGCUUGCCUCCCAGGGGUGGCUAUGUGUGUCGGGUGAUCAGACUGGUCGAAUGUAAUGGCAGUCUGAGACCACUUCAAAUAACUGGGCGUCGCUGGAGUGACCAUGUUCACUUCUCUGUUGAUGACUUUCAGUCGACUCUUGCUCUCAACAUCAGCAAAAAUCAUCAGAGUGGAAUUGACGUGGGGGUAACCAUCAUCGUCCUCUUCCUUAUCCUCAACUUUGUCCGAUUCUUUUUUCCUUUUCUUUGGGUUGUUUCUCUCGGAACUGCUGGAUUAGGAGCCGACAUUGUCGAGUGGUAUGUUUCGGGUAAAUGAGAUUACCCUCCUCAUCUUUUUUGGUGCGAAUGUGGCCUGGUAAAUCCAACACAUCAUUUCCAUCUUGAUCUUUUACUUUCUUGGGGUUCCAUGGCCCUUUGGGCUUCCCCUUGAACUUUCCUUGAGUCACGGCUAAGGCUUCUCCGGGAGUAGCUGGCUCGGCUUUGCGCUUCUGCUUCCGACUGGAGUUCCCUCCCCCGGUUUCGUGGGCGGCUGUUUUGUGCUUGCCACUCCGGAGCCGAUCCUCCUCUUCACCAUUAGCAUACUUGGUGGCAAUUUCCAUCAUUCGACUCAGAGACAUAUCUCCGGUCCGACCGAACUUCAUAUUCAAUUCUCGAUACUUGACGCCUUCCUUGAAGGCACAAACUGCUUGGUGAUCAGACACAUUCUCCACCGUGUGGUGCAACGUGAUCCAUCUCUAGAUAUAAUCUCUCAAAGUUUCAUUCGACUUCUACACACAAGACUGUAGCUCUGUUAGCCCUGCUGGCCAUUUGCAUGUACCUUCAAAUGUUCUGACAAACACUUGGGCAAGCUCUUCCCAGCUAUAAACACUGCCAGGUGCUAACUGAUUCAACCACGCUCUGGCCGAGCCCUCUAACAUCAGAGGAAGGUGCUUCAUGGCCACUUCAUCAUUGCCACCACCAAUCCGCACAGCCACUCGGUAGUCCACAAGCCAAGUGUCAGGCUUGGACUCACCAGUGAACUUGCUGACUCCAGUCGCCAACCUGAAGUUGGGAGGAAUCACUGCUGCUCUGAUGGCUCUGCUGAAACACUCGGGACCUGAGACAUGCACCCUGCUGCUGGUCGGGUAAUCUCUAUCGUGGCCAUCUCUGUGUGCCCUGUUCCUAUCAACCAGACCUUCAACCAGAAUGGAUCUCGCGUCAAAGCCCGGCUCCCGGGGGUCGGCUGGAAUCCUUCGCCCACCACUGUGAGGGCGUCUGUCAUCGUGUUGCCGAGGCGCGUAUGACCCACUCCUUGGGGGAGGCGUGGGUACUCGACGACGAUCAUACUGCUCAUGGUUUCUGUACUGAUCCUGUCGAUCUCCACGUCCCUCACGCCUUGGAGGUGAUCUUGGGCUGUGAGCCGACUGAACUGUGUCUGCCAUUACAGAUCUACUAUGAAUCCUAUUCCGAGAUUGUGACACUGCUGUGUUCUGCUCCCCCGCCGCCCGGAGCAAAGCCCGGAUCUGCAUCAAACCCUACCAGCCUUUGACUGGGAAGGCUGAAUCAACUCUGCUAUUCGGGCAGCAGCUGUGAGAUUCUGGAUCGGAGUUCGAUAUACCUGGGUUGGAGGCGGAAAAAGUUGCCGUCGACUGGACUCAGGAACUCGCUGCCGAGCAUGCUCGUCGAGUGCGUGCUGGAGGUUCUCCAGUCGAGUGCGCUCAGCCAAGUUGUCUAGGUGCACCUCCUCCAAGGCCCGGGCCUCGGGGGUUUCUCCAACGAUAGGAGUGUGAAGUGCGUCCAUGUUACGGUGGCGAAGCUCUUCCCUCUGCUGCGAAGAGAGGGGCUCGGGGCGGUACUCCUCGUGGACACGCGACGGAUCGCCUCCGCCAUCGCCACCGUCGUCACGGGGGAAGCCAGGAGGACUACGCGGUCCGUUGACCAUCAGGAUUUCCGCCGCGGGGUCACUGCUGUCGCACUCGGAUGCAGUCUCAACGGAGCUAGUCGACAGGUCGAAUAGGCCAUAGAGAGUUUCGUCGGGCUCGAUUGCCACGACUUGGGGGGUGGCCGACUGGCGAGCCACCGCGUGCCUCACCCACCGCUGGAGCCUCGACCGACCGGAACGCUUGUGCUGGUGGGCAGCAGGGAGUGAAGACGCCACAGGAGCCGACCGAUACUGGGUCGACGGUUGCCGCAGGAGGACGCCGCGGACGCACGCACGAAAGUGCGUUGCCCCGCGGACGGGGAGCGCCUCGACGUCGAGUGGAGCUUCUUGGAUCCAAGAGGAGUCGUCGACGACGAACACGAGCGCGCCGAGACGGAUCUCGCGGCCCUCGGCUAAUCCUCCGCCUGAAACCAUGCUGAUGGGGAUCGGAAAAAUUGCAACUUCUCCAACAAGUCGCUAAGACACCUGCCCCACGGUGGGCGCCAACUGUCGUGGUUCUAAGUCUGACAGUAGAAUGGGGGGUAGGGAUGUAGAGGCAAGAUCCUAGCUAUGGAGAAGUUGUACGCACAAGUUUUACGAGUUCAGGCCCUUCUCGGAGGAAGUAACAGCCCUACGUCUCGGAGCCGGGAGGCGGUCGAUUGGAUUAUAUGCGUGUGUGUUACCGAGGGCGCGAACCCUUGUCCCAGAGGAGGGGGGUGGCUUAUAUAGAGUGCGCGAGGACCCCAGCUCCCCUCCGUUACACAGGGUUCAAUGUUCAUAAAGAAGGAGCGUUACAGGUAACGUCCGUAGUAAAGUGCUAUAAAUGACUAUUAAUUCUAAGGGUAAAUGCCUGACCGUUGCUGCGCGGAGUGGCUUUAGGUCUUCUGCACGUCGAGUGGUUUAGUGGUCGAGUGACCCAAAUAAGGGGGGGUCUCCGAGUGAAUGGUAGGUCGAGUGGAUUGCACUCGACACCUUUGUUGGGUCCCCUCUAUUUACUCUUGAACCUCUUUGCUUCUAGGACAAGGACCUUAGAUAGGACGUAUAGGUCAGGCCUAUUACCCUACCCCAGGUCUAUGUCCUCAUCACCCAGUAAGUUUGAGGAAUUUUUACUGGAUAUAACUAUAAAAAAGUAGAGGGGUUUCUAAUGCUAGAGCCGCUAGCCCGCAUAUUCAUGUUGUGCGCUACUUUGCUUCAUAGGAAUAUGUUUGACCACUAAACAGGAGUGGUAUAAGUUUAGUGCUCCGGACCUCGCUAUCUUGCGAGGUGCACUCUUUGGUGGGAGAAGUCAUAGUUUGGGAUCGUUGCAUAUGAAAUUAUGAACAGGUCUAAGGGUAUUGCUUAUGAUGGUACUUAUUUUACUCGCCUGGUCUAAGCGUAUUGUUUAUGAUGUUAUUUAUACAGUUUUGCUAAAGCACAUCUAGAUGUGCCAUAAGUAUUGCACAUCUAAGUCAUAUAUCAUUGAUCUUAAGUGAAGAUUCGUGUGGGUAUUUUCUUUUCAUUUCUAUGCUUGCUUGUGUCACUUAGAUGUGCAAUACCUAAGGCACAUCUAGAUGUGCCCUAGACAAACCCUUAUUUAUAUUAUUCGCUAACAUUUUCAUUAGACAGAAUGAGUAUAUCUACUGUUCUGCCAGAGCGAUAAUCAGAUUAUGAUUCUAUGAAAGAAAUAAUUAAAACCACAAAUAUUCUAUUUUUCAUAAAAAGACAUAUUAAGAUCGUGAAGAUAUCAAUUACACGCAGCUCCAACAAUAAAAUGCCUGACAAUACACACAGCUGCAACAAUAAAAUGUCUGACAUAGGCACCAUAGAUGCACACAACCUUACUAAAGUAAAAACAAGAAAAAAAUACGUUGCGAUGAUCAGAACAAUGUAGCUGCAACACAAAAGGCAGCCCAAAGUUCAAUUUCUCAAUGUUGAGUAUAUUGAUUAUUAAAAAAGACGAGAUAGAUUAGAAUUUGUUCUGGUUUGUCUUGUACUCCAAAUAGAUCAUUGUACUUAUAUAUAUAUGCCCACGAGGACCAAUCCCUCUCUUUUCCUUCUAACAUGGUAUCAGUCUAAUCUCGAUCCAAACCCUAGCCCCCGCCGCUUCCGCACCGCACCGCCUCCGAGACGGUCGAUCUCCACCGCCGCCCGUACCUAGGGUUCGUUUGCCGGUUGUCGGGGAUAUACCCCGCGGUAUGACCCGGCCGGAGAUAUGACACGGUUGGGACCAGGUGUUUCAUUGGUGACCCGGCAGAUUGUUUAAGCUGUUUAAACCGGCGGAUAGUUAAGCAGGGUAAGCCGGCGGAGACAGUUAAGCAUGGUAAGCCGACAGACGGUUAAGCCAGAUAGUUAAGCCGGAUGUUAAGUCGGCAGAUUAUAAGCCGGCAGAUUGUUUAAGCCAGAUGUUUAAGUCAGACUGUGAUAGAGUCGCCUGGGGUUAAUAAUCCCAAAACGUUAAGAAGCCCAUGGAGAGAAGCCCGUGAAGAGAAGUCAGAAUAGUUAAGUCUUAAGUCCGAGUUGGACACUACAUGUAACCCGCCCCUUUAACUUAUAUAAGGAGGGGCAGGGCACCCCAAGAGGGACAGGUUGAGUAAUCUCUAGGUUAGACACAACUAGGGGAGCUGGCUUACAGCGACUCCCUCAUGAUCAUAAUGAGACCUAAGCACAAACAGCAUGUAGGGCUAUUACCGGAUGAUGUUUCCCGGGGCCCGAAGCUGUCUAAAUCCUUGUCUUGUGUGUUGAUCCGCCUCACGUCUCUCAUCCCGACCAACCCCUCUCAAGCUACCACAUAGAUGUGUUGGCCUCACGAAUAAGUCCUCACACUAGGACAUCUGCCGUGACAAAUCCACGACAGUUGGCGCCCACCAUGGGGCCCGCGCACGGUGGUGUUGAGUUCUUGGAGGGAUCUCUCACUAGGGUUUCGAGAAGUACACAAAUUUCCGCAUGAAGGAAAGUCGGUUUUGGAAGGACCUACGUCAGCUUUGAUCAAAAUUAGAAAUUUUUUAUUGGAGUUCAUCCGGUCGGUUGGUAAGAUUAUCAGAGAAGAUCCUGAAGGUUUCGUUUGGUUCAGUAUUGGUGCACUGAAGUCCGAUGGGUGCGGACCAUCAACAUGCACAAGGCCAAGUUGUUCCAAACCGCUGCCACUUCACACAAUACUGAAAAUAAAUCAUACAUCAUUCAAAAUACACACAUAGACCGAGUACGGUCAAAACCAAAUGAAAAGAAGAUAACCCCAAAUGCUAGAUCCCCGAUCGUCCCAACUUGGCACCACUACUGAUCAUUAGGAAACGAAACAUAGUAACGACCAAGUUCCUCGUCGAACUCCCACUUGAGUUCGGUAGCAUCACUUGCACUGGUAUCCUCGGCACCUGCAACUGUUUUGGAAGUAUCUGUGAGUCACGAGGACUCAGCGAUCUCACACCCGCGAGAUCAAGACUAUUUAAGCUUAUGGGUAGGAGAAGGUAGUGAGGUGGAGCUGCAGCAAGCACUAAGCAUAUAUGGUGGCUAACAUACGCAAAUAAGAGCGAGAAGAGGAGCAACGCAACGGUCGAGAAGCUAGAAGUGAUCAAGAAGUGAUCCUGAAACUACUUACGUUCAUACAUAACCCAAACCGUGUUCACUUCCCGGACUCCGCCGAAAAGAGACCAUCACGACUACACACGCGGUAGAUGUAUUUUAAUUAAGUCAGGUGUCAAGUUCUCUACAACGGGAUAUUAACAAAUUCCCAUCUGCCACAUAACCGCAGGCACGGCUCUCGAAAGUUUAUACCCUGCAAGGGUGUCCCAACUUAGCUCAUCACAAGCUCUCACGGUCAACGAAGGAUAUUCCUUCUCCCGGGAAGACCCGAUCAGGCUCAGAAUCCCGGUUACAAGACGUUUCGACAAUGGUAAAACAAGACCAGCAAGGUCACCCGACUGUGCCGACAAAUCCCGAUAGGAGCUGCACAUAUCUCGUUCUCAGGGCACACCGGAUGAGACAUCCUAUGAGUAAAACCAAGCCUCAAGUUUCCCCGAGGUGGCCCCCCAGUCUACUCGGUUCGGACCAACACUCAGAGGAGCACUGGCCCCNNNNNNNNNNNNNNNNNNNNNNNNNNNNNNNNNNNNNNNNNNNNNNNNNNNNNNNNNNNNNNNNNNNNNNNNNNNNNNNNNNNNNNNNNNNNNNNNNNNNNNNNNNNNNNNNNNNNNNNNNNNNNNNNNNNNNNNNNNNNNNNNNNNNNNNNNNNNNNNNNNNNNNNNNNNNNNNNNNNNNNNNNNNNNNNNNNNNNNNNNNNNNNNNNNNNNNNNNNNNNNNNNNNNNNNNNNNNNNNNNNNNNNNNNNNNNNNNNNNNNNNNNNNNNNNNNNNNNNNNNNNNNNNNNNNNNNNNNNNNNNNNNGUAAAUAAAGAUGACCCUCGGGCUCGUGAAAAAACCAAGGUUGGGCCUUGCUGGAGGAGUUUUAUUCAAAGCGAACUGUCAAGGGGGUCCCAUAAAUCCCCAACCGCGUAAGGAACGCAAAAUCAAGGAACAUAACACUGGUAUGACGGAAACUAGGGCGGCAAGAGUGGAACAAAACACCAGGCAUAAGGCCGAGCCUUCCACCCUUUACCAAGUAUAUAGAUGCAUUAAAGUAAAUAAGAGAUAUUGUGAUAUCCCAAAAAUAUCCAUGUUCCAACAUGGAACCAACUUCAUCUCCACCUGCAACUAGCAAUGCUAUAAGAGGGGCUGAGCAAAAGCGGUAAGAUAGCCAAACAACGGUUUGCUAGGAAAGGUGGGUUAGAGGCUUGACAUGGCAAUAUGGAAGGCAUGAUAUAGCAAGUGGUAGGUAGCGCGGCAUAGCAAUAGAGCGAACAACUAGCAAGCAAAGAUAGAAGUGAUUUCGAGUGUAUGGUCAUCUUGCCUGAGAUCCCGCAAGGAAGAAGAACGAGUCCAAGAAGAAGACAAACGGACGUAGUCAAACGAAUCCUCACAACUCCAGAACGAAACCGAAGCUAACGAGAGAAGCAAACCGGAAAGAAGCAAGCAACAAAGUAAACAACCAUCACAUAAACAUGGCAUGAUGCGCAACCAAGUAUGAUGCAUGUCCGGUUUAAAGAGGCAUGGCAUGGCAAAGUGCACAAACAAUACUACAAAUUAAGUGGAGCUCAAUAUGCAACGAGUUGCAUAUUGACGAAACACCACAUUCAAGUUAUUUAGUUCGCUCUUGUUUAUGUACCCAACAAUAUUAAAUGUUAUUCAACAUGGCAAGGGGUGAAGCAUAAAUAAACUAUCUAUUUAGGCAAGUUUAAAUGAGGCCGGAACAACAAACAACAAUUCCGGAAAAUCCCCAUAUGCAUAUUAUGAAUUUGGUACUGUUCUGCCCUAAACACAAUUUUAAUGUUGUUAAACAGCAAAAUAAAGUGCACCAUGUCAAACUAGGCAUUUUUCUACCCCAUUUACAUAUAAAGUUUAUUAAAUUUGGAGCGAGCUACGGUUAUUUAGUGAUGAAAUAAAUCAUUUAGCAUGGCAUUUAUGCAAAAUAAAUGUAAACAACAACUUAAACAUUUUAAACAUGGAUGAGAGCAGCAUAUUAUGAAACUAGAUGAAAUUCUGAGCAUUUUACAUAUAUAAAUUAUUUACAUAUGAUGCAUGGUUAAUUAGUUAUUACAUGCAUGAACAUGAGGGUUUUUCUGCAAAACAGUAAAACCUGGGAUAAUUGCUAAAUUCACAGAACAGGGAAAAAACGUGCACUGGUCUGAAACUGCUGGGUGUGGCUGAGCGCUCACCAUAGGCUCUUGGCCCGGUCGGUGCUGGGUUGGCCUGCUGGCGCAGGACGCGGGCUGCUGGGCUGGGCCUAGGCGGCUUGGCUGGAGGCGAUUGAGGCCUCCUGGUCCACGCGGGCGCGGUCGAGCGCUCGUUUCCCUCGCGUACAGAGACGAGCGAGCGAGGCAGAAGCAGGGCACGACGGCGGCAGCGGGGACUUGGCGAUGCGGCGGGGCCGAGGGACUUGGGCGCGACUCCGGCGAGCUGAGGAUGUCCAGCAACGACAGGGAUGGCCGGGACCCAACGGAUCCGAGCCAGGGCGGCGGCAUCGGAUGGAGACGAGACGGGCAGCGCUUGAAGCUUUGGCCAUGGCUCCUGUGAAGGUUCAGAGAGAGGGAGAGGGAGAAAAACAGAGGGAGGAAGGAGAAAAAGGGGAGGCGUGGUCUGGCCUGACGGAGGUGGUCGGAGGCCCAGCGCACUGCCGACGAGGUUGGUGUGGCUGCUCCAGUGACAAGUAACACGGGGACGCCGAGCUACAGGGUGCAGGAGAUGGAUCCGGCGAGGCUCGUCGAAUCUGGAGCUGGAGGAGCUCAUGCUUGGUGAUGACACGACGCGGUCAAGCUGGUGCUCGUCGGUGUCGGCUCGCCGGCCGGCGUGGCGGGGCGAUGCUCGAGCGGACGGGUUGCCUCGAUCCGGAUCGGGGGCUGGUAGCGAUGGGCGGAACCGCGAGGCUACGGGAGGCUCUCUGGGCCAUAGGAUCUGAGAUCUAGUGGUCCAGAUUGAGUGGGGUUUGGCUGAUGGAUCUGGCCAAGUGGAGGCAGGGGACUGGGUGCGUGCGGAUUGCGAGGAGAGCGGCGGCGGCUGCGGGAUUGGAGGGAGUUGGUCUGCCUAGGGUUUAGGUUAGCUAGAAAUGGAAUAGGGGAGGCCCCUAUAUAUAGCAGGUGGAUGAUAAGUGGGAAUAUGAGGGUAAUCUGGACCCUCCGAUUAUAAUCGGACGACCCGGGACAAUUAGAGCAACUCCAACGGGCCGACCCAAACGGACGGCGAUUUCGUCCGCUUUUUGUCCGUUUGGGUCGGCCGCCCGCCCGGCGUCCGCCCUGUUUUUCAUAUGGGUCGGCAGCGCGCCCAACACGCCGACCCAUAUGUGCAGGCGUGGCCGGCUGGCCGCCCAAUUUUGCAUUGCAUUGUGAAAUGAAAAUUCAACAAACAAAAUAGUCCACCCAAAUAAAUAGUAUAGUUUACAGGCCAAAUAAAAAUAAAAAUGUUUCACAUAGUUUUACAAACGAAUAAAAGAAGAUACAUCUAUUGGUUGCCAACAUGAGUCCACAUAUGCUCAACCAAAUCAUUUUGCAGUUGCACGUGAGUUUCCCAAUCACGCAUGUCUUCAUGAAACUGAGUGAACUGCUCAAAUGUUGUCGCAACUCCAUGCUCAGGCACAACAUUCUCACCCUGAAACUGAAAGCCUUGAUCGUACAGACGUUCCGGGCACUCGUCUUCUACGAUCACAUUGUACAUGAUCACACAAGCAGUCAUCACCUCCCAUAGUUUCUGCGUGCUCCAAGUAUUAGCAGGAUACCGAACGAUGCCCCAUCGAGAUUGCAAAACACCAAAGGCACGCUCGACAUCCUUUCUAGCACUCUCUUGCUCUUGGGCAAAUCUUUUCCUUUUCUCUCCAACAGGGUUGGGUAUUGUCUUUACAAUAGUGGUCCACUGAGGAUAGAUAACGUCACCCAAAUAGUACCCUUUGUCGUAGUUGUGGCCGUUGACAGUAAAGUUCACCGGUGGGCUGUUGCCUUCGGCAAGCCUAGCAAACACCAGCGAGCGCUGAAGCACGUUGAUAUCAUUGUGUGAUCCAGCCAUGCCAAAGAAAGAGUGCCAGAUCCAGAGAUCUUGAGACGCCACGGCCUCUAGUAUGACAGUGCAAGCCCUGACAUGUCCCUUAUACUGCCCUUGCCAAGCAGAAGGGCAGUUCUUCCACUCCCAGUGCAUGCAGUCUAUGCUGCCAAGCAUCCCCGGGAAGCCCCUGCUAGCAUUCAUCGCCAACAAACGGGUUGUAUCUGCAGCUGUCGGCUCUCUCAAGUACUCAGGGCCAAACACAGCAAUCACAGCCUUGCAGAACUUAUACAGGGACUCUAGGCAUGCAGACUCGCUCAUACGGACGUACUCGUCAAUGAGAUCACCGGGCACUCCGUAUGCAAGCAUUCGGAUGGCGGCAGUGCAUUUCUGAUAAGAGGAGAAACCAAUCUUGCCGACGGCAUCCUCUUUGCACUCGAAGUAGUCAUCAUAGCCGGCCACUCCCUCUCUAAUACGGUUGAAAACAUGCCUACUCAUACGGAACCGGCGGCGGAAUUUGUGAUGUUUGAACAACGGGUUUGUUGUAUCAAAGUAGUCCUUCCAAAGAAGGAAAUGCCCGCUCUCUCGGUUAUGAUUCAACGCCGGAAGGUGGCCCGGAAUGGAGCCAUGGAACAACGGCCGCUGGUUGUUGAGGUGGUGAUGGACCAACACGGCAGCCAAUAUCUCCUCGUCAUCGUCGGACGACGAAUUGUCGGAGUCGCAAAUGAAAUUGUGGAAAAAGAACUCGUCGACGGAGUCCAUUUUCGUACCUUGGCAAACUGUCGAACAGCUUGCGGGCAUCGAAGAAGGAGACGGCCGGCAAGGGGAGACGUGGUGCCCACAGACCAGCUAGCUGCCCUGCCGGCGUCCGAUGAGUGUGACGGCGCCGUCAGACGAGCGUGCCGGUCGUAUGUGGCCGGGGCGGCGAGGCGUCUUCUUGGUCGCGGGCGGCUGUGCGGUGGGGGAAGCGGCAGCGGGAACUAGUUUGCUCCCCGGCGGCGGCGGGCGACUGGGGGCAGGGACGGCGUUGCUGGGCGGAUGUGGAGGCGGCUGUAGCUAGAAGAGUCGCCGCAAAAAAUGGGCGGCGGCGUCGGUUGCUUGUUGGCCGGGGGGAGGGAGGCAAAUGUGCCACAGACAAGCGGGACCAGGGACAGGAGUAGGCGACCGCGCGCGCGUCCGUCGCGUGUCCGCGCCGACGGAAAUCAGGCUCAAAAAUAGCCCGGGAAUGGGUCGCCUACGGACGAAAAACGGACGCGCGUCCGUUUGGGUCGGCGCGUUGGGCCGCCUUUUCUGUCCGCGCCGACCCAAACGAACGGCCCCGGACGAAAUGGGUCGCCCCAUUGGAGUUGCUCUUAGGUUAUGGUAGAUCAAAUAAGAAACCAAAAAUAUUUAGGGGAUGAUCCGAAUCCAACGGUGACGACUACCCGGGUCGAGUUCGGGGAAGUUUUGGACGCGCACGAGGGAGUUUGUGCAUUUUCAAAAGAGGUUAGAUGGUUUGACAAGAGGGAAUCGAAAACACGGUUGGUCUCGAAACGAUCAACAAAAGAAAGGGGGGACGCGGCAACUACGAGCAGAUGCAAGUUUUAAAAAACAAUGACGGCAAUGAGUACCGAUGCAAUGCGGAUGAUGCCAUGAUGAAAGCAAUAAACAAAUAAAACACACGGCGGCAACGAAAUUACUGGAAGGCAUCUAGAGCGUCAGUCUUGGGUCGUUACAUCCGACCACGCCGCGAGCAGUUCCCCCUCAGCCGCAGCGGAGCCAAGCCGCCGCCUGCCUAAGCCGUAUCGUUGGGCCGCUCGGCGUCUCGCAUCUUCGCCGCCUUUUCAUCCUUGCGAUGAGCCGCCGUCGCUGACUCGCCCUCGCCAGCACCUUGUAACAGCCUCCGCUCGGCCUCACCGAGAGCCGCCAUCAGUGAGCCGCCGCCUUCGUCACCCGUAGGCACAACCGCCAAGCCACCAUCAGUGAGCCGCCGCCUUCGUCACCCGUCGGCACAACCGCCAAGCUGCCGGAUUCUGCUUCUGCCAUGAAUUCAACCCGCCAGCACUAGUGCAGAACCGGGCUUUAGCGCCGGUUCGUAAGGGCCUUUAGUGCCGGUUCUGCAACCGGCACUAAAGAGUGGAGACUAAAGCCCCCCCCUUAACUACCGGCACUAAAGAGUGGAGACUACCACGUGGCACGAGCCAGGCCCGGGUGCUGGUAGACCAUUAGUACCGGUUGGUAGCACCAACCGGUACUAAAUGUUUGGGGGAGUUUUGGUUUUAAUUUUUAUUUUUCCAUUAAUUUUGUGUUUUCUAUUUAAUUCUUUUUUGUUUGCUGGUAUUUUACGAUACUACAUAUUGUACACGUUAUGCAUAUAUAUAAAUAGAUUUUCUCGUAGAAACGAUCAUAUAUAUAUAUAAUCGAAUGUCUCACAACCACCAUUAAUUAUUCACACAUACACAUGUAUAUAUAUACAAUUUCUCCUACAUGUUGCCUUGGUGCCUUCGGAGCACGAUGACAAGUGGUUCAUGGGGGCGGUAGCGGGUAAUAGUAUUCUCCUUUGGGAUCUAUGACCUGGUCGAGCAAAAAUCCCGCUAUUUCCUCUUGAAGUGCUCGUAUGCGCUCCUCUGCUAGGAGCUGGUCCCGCACCUUUUUGAACUGUUAAGAAGGAGAUCAAUAUGCAUGUGUAUUAGUUGUGUGACUAGAUAUCGACAAUCAUGUAAGAUUUGUGAAUAGUGUUCUGGCAAACGUACCCAGUCCUGUCUAUCAGAUCUGCUCCUUUCGGACGCCAUCAUGCGAAUGUUCUCGCAAACGUAGUAUGCACACACUUCAGUCCCCGGCGCUUGCUUCAGGGCCUUUACGAGAAUAGAAUUUAAUCAGAUAAUAAUUAAUCAAGCAUGUUAAUUAAUUAAUGGUAUUGAAACAAGAAUUAAAGAGAUGGUAGCUAGCUAGCUAGUACUACUUAAUUACUUACCUUGGGUCGAUACCAACAUAGCUUUUGUCGCCAUUUUCCUGGAGUCACCUUGAUGUACUUUGCCCAAGCCCUGCCCGCCGGCAAGGAAAAUUAAUAAAGGGGUUAUUAAAAAUAGUUCAUAUCAGGAAAUGACGAACUAAAUAGGCCGAGAUAUAGUUAAUAAUGAUUGAAAUUACCUGUUGACUAUCCCCUUCACGAUGCUGUAGUCACUAUCUUUUUUAAGUAGUGAGUCCAGUACUUCAACUUUUCCUUCGUUAACUUUAAUGUCUAACAAGAUCCAGUGGAAGCUGCAUGCGCAUACGUUUGCAUGUAUAAAUUAAGCGGGCAUGUGCAUAACACUAAUCAACUAUAACCCUAAACCCUAUACACUUAUUAACAUCUAGCUAGUAAGCAAAAACAGAAUUUGUAGUACAAGACAGUGUGACUCACUCGAAGUUGUAAGGAAGUAGUAUAUCUUCAUUGCUAUUGAGGCGCUUCAAGAACUCUAGCAUGCAUUUCUCUACAUCUUGUCUACACCAUUCCAAUUUCCAUGUGUAUUCAUUAACGGUAUUUGGGUCAUUGAACCCAAUGCCAUAGCGUCCAGCUUUUUUCAUUUCAUACAUCUUCAUCCUGCAUAAUACCACAGAAAAGAAUAUAUAAUGAGGAUAUAUAAUUACAGGUAAUUAAUGAUCAAUCAAUGAGCACUAGAGCUAGCUUGAGACUUAAAUUACAGAAAGAAAACACUUACAGACAAUAGCAACUGACGAUAGAUUUGUCGAGUGCAUCUUGAUUGAAUAACUGAAAUAGUUCUGAAUACUCAACAGACAGAGCUUUCUUAUUGAAGUAAUGAUCUUCCUCGACUUGCACCAUGAAGGACUCUCGAUUGGAAAUCUUGGUAAUUUUCAAGUACCAAUCAUGCAAUUCAUACAUUCUCGUUGGGAGUGGGAGGUUCUUGACCUCCCCGGGCUCGACCAAAGGUUGGCCCCGGACAUAUUUCCGUUUUAUUUCCUCCUCUCUAAGCGGAGACAUGGGCUCGAUCUCGAGGAGUUGUCCAACAGUGAUCUUGAGCAUUUCAGCCUGCAUUAUAUGCUUCUCGGUUAUUACCACAUCGCCCAGCUCGGGAACGUAAAUGGUUUGCCCACAAUAAUAUUGGGCGCGCGUACUCUCAUGUGUUGUUGGCACAACAAGCGGGGGGGGGGGGUCGAUUGCGCCGCAUGUUCUCCCAGCUGGGGAACGGUUUUCCCGCAUUUUUUGACAGCUGCUUGUUGGCUCGAGCUUGAGCUCGCUUCUUUCUGUAGUCGUGCUCGAUGUGCCUUCUUGAUUUGGCGCUCAUAGUCUGAGUCAACAGGCUUGGGAGCUGGUGGUCUAGCCAUACGAAUGAAGUGGUCAAUCUUUUCCUCAGGCACUUUCUCCCUCGGCGGCGUUCCCGGUUUCGGUCGAAAAUGAGCGUCCACUUCGGCCCGCACUAUUGCAUCAUUUUGCUCCUCGGUCAUGUCGUAAGGCCUCUGAGGAAGAGGAGCGAGGCUGCUUGGACCAUAUUUAUAUCGCUUGUCUCCGCCUGUACUUUCUGUACUACCUCGACUCAUACCGCUACGCACCAUAGCUGCGGCGUGUCUCUUCUGCGAUUGCUUAGGCGGCGGACACGACUGACGUGGCUUAGUUGGAGCAGGAGGACUGGCCUGACGCUGUGCCGGACUUGAAGCAGGAGGUGUGGCCUGACACAGUGUCGGACUUGAAGCAGGAGGUGUGGCCUGACGCUGUGCCGGACUUGAAGCAGGAGGUGUGGCCUGACACGGUGUCAGACUUGAAACAGGAGGAGUGGCCUGACGCUGUGCCGGACUUGAAGCAGGAGUCUGCUCACGCGUUCGUGGACUUGGAGGAGCGGGAGUCUGCUGACACGGUGGCGGACUUCAAGGAGGAGUCGGCAGACGCGGUGUCGGUGGACUUCGAAAGAUGAUGCAAUCCUUUCUCCAUAGGAUGAUACGAUGUAUGGCCUCUCCCAGUGUGUGCUCGUCGUCACCUCCAAGAAUGUCAAGAUCUAGCCCCGAAUAUGGGUCCACCACCUCAUCAACCAAGACACGAGCAUAGCCCUCUGGAAUCGGGGCGCAAUGGAAGGUUGCUUCGGGGGUAAUUGUAAAAGCAACGACGUCCGCCGCCUUCAUGGAUAUGUUCUUCAUUUUGAAGUGUAGCUCACAGUUAGUGUUCUCUAUGAUGUCAUCCACAGGGUAUGUAUCCAGCAGUGCGUCGCCUGGGGCGGAACCAACGCUGCUUCUCGGCAUGGAUGGGACGGUGCUAUCCAAUGCUGGAUGAUCAUCCGCUUGCUGCUGCCGCUGCUGAGACCCCCUUUCCUGGCUAAGUGAGUCGAUCUGCUACUGCUGCUGCUGGAAUUUGAGUGCCAAGUCCGCGUGCCUUGCUUCUAGGCCUUGAAGGCGUUCCGCGUCCUGCUUCCUCUGCUCCUCCUCCAGCUUCCUCUUCUUCUCCUCCUCCAUCUUCUUUCUUGCAUGGGUCCUGUAGUCGUCGUUCCAUUCCGAAAAGCCCUCAUACCAGGGAAUAACGCCCUUGCCUCGUGUUCUUCCCGGGCGGUCAGGAUUUCCCAGGGCGCGCGUAAGCUCGUCGUUCUCUCUGUUGGGCGUGAACACCCCCUUUCGAGCAUCUUCUAUUGCGUCAAGUAACUUUUGUUCUGGUCCUUUUAGACUUGCCUUCUUCGAAACCAGGCCUGUCUUCGGGUCCAACGCCCCCCCAUGCGCAUAGAACCAAGUUCUGCACCUGGGGGGCCAGCUCCUAGUAACCGGAGUGACCCCUGCAUCCUCCAUCUCUUGCUCAGACUUAUCCCACUUAGGCAUUGCCACCGCGUAGCCACCUGGACCCAGCCUAUGGAACUGCGUCUUUUUUGCGGCAUUGGCCUUGUUUUUUCUCGACCGUUCCUUAGAUAAUUCUGAUUCCUUGAAUUUCACGAAAGCGGGCCAGUGUUCUCUUUGCUUCUCCAGUGUUCCCUUGAAUUCUGGAGUCUUCCUUUCUGCAGCGAGGUAGUUGGCCCACACAGUUUUCUUGUGGGUGUUGAAUGCAAUUGCCAUCUUCUUAAGAGCAGCGUCCUUGACUUUCUGCACAUCUGCAUCAGUGAAAUAAUCUGGUAGGGUGAAAUGUUCCAUCAGAGAUUCCCAAAGCUUUUGUUUUGCUCUGUCGUCGACCCAAGUAACAUCUGGGCGUUUAGUUUUUGGCUCUUUCCAUUCUUGAAUGGAGAUCGGGAGUUGGUCCUUCACAAGAACUCCGCACUGACGAACGAACUUGUUCGCAAUGUUCUUAGGCGUGAGGGGUUCACCACUAGCUUUGAUGGAAUCGAUGUUGUACUUUACACCCUCCUUCAACUUUUUGCCCGGGCCGCGCUUUGUCCUGCUGUCUGUAGAAGCAGAUUUGCUCGAUCCGGAGGGCUGAAAGAAGAAAGAUCGAUUCGUUAAUAUAUCUUCAAAUAAAAAAACAUGUGAUGAUCACUAGAUGCCUGCUUAUAUAAAUAUACCUCGCCGGUAGUCUUUGUUAUUUCAAGAUCAACAUUGUAUUCGUCAUCAUAAUCAUUGUCUGCGUCAUCAUAAUCAUAAUCAUAGUUCAUGACUUCAUCAGCUCGGUCGUCGAGAUCGAAUAUCUUAUCAUCACCCUCCCCGGUAUUUUUCAGAUAUUGGGAGCCGUCAUUUGCUUCAUUCAGAUCAUCUCGCCUGCUAGGGCUGCGUAUGAUCUCGAACAGGGCCUCUUCUCCCUCUCUGCCGGUAUUGUCCGCCAUAGCUUUUAUUUAACUAAUACCGAAGAAAUAUAAAACAAUUUAGUAUUCAAAUUACAAUGCAUGGAUGCAAUCAAUAAGGAAAAACUGAAUCAUAUAGUACAUAAUAUGCAUCGUCUCGAAUAAUAUAUAAUCUCGAAUACAUCACUGGCUAGGUAGCUAAUAAAGAUCGAAUACUAUAGAAGAAUCUAGGCCACUCGCGGUUCCUGGGGCGCGGGCGGUGGACACCCAAAGACAAGGAACCAUCACAGGAUCAUAUCUCCGAUCAUCUGCCCAAAGAACCUGCCAGGUAUUGGAGAACCCGACGUCCAUAGCAGCCAUGUAGCGAUGGACGUGCUCCUCCUCCUCCCUGACACGACGACGCACCACCUCCGGUGGGGCCGGCUCCCUCUGCACCGAAUGUGGCCCACGCGAACGCCACCAAAGGAGAUCAGGGUCGACGACGGGACCCGAGGCCGGGUUCCUCACCAAGCGGCGCGCCCCUCCAGGUAGCACCUCCCAGUGCCAGCCCGGCGGAGCCCAAUCCCGGACAUGGGUAAGCCGGACGUCGUCGCGAACGGGUCGACGGCGAGGAUGCGGGCUGGGCAUCGUCGAUAACAAAUACUAUAUGCCCGCAAAAAGUAACAUUUUUUAAAUGAUUGGAUUGUGAUAACUAAAAUUAUAAGAAACUGAAAAAAACAUCGAUCAUCGUCUAACAAUUUGACAUUAAUCUAAUUCAUCUAGCUAAAACUAAUUCUAAAAUUUCUAACAUUUCUAUAUAUAUAACUAACAUUUCUAUAACAUUUCUAAUAUUUCUAUAACCAAAAAACAGAAAAAUUGCUAACAUUUCUAUAACUAAAAUUAUAAGAAACUAAAAACUACCAUUUCUAACAUUUCUAUAACAAUUUGAAAUUAAUCGAAUUCAUCUAGAUAAAACUAACAUUUCUAAAAUUUCUAACAUUUCUAUAUACUAUUUGACAUUAAUCUAAUUAAUUAAUUAAUUCAUCUAAAACAUUUGUAUAAAAAACAGAAAAAACAGAAUCGUGUGUGUGUUGCUGUGUGCCUGUGUGUGUGUGUGCUCGCGCGCGUGCGCGUGUGCACCCUACGGCGCCGGCGGCGCGGUGGCUUCGAUUGGAGGGAGGAGAGGGGCCGGGGAGAGGGGCUCACAGCGCGGGCGACGGCGAGGCGACGGGACAGCGAGGCAGAGGGGACGGUGACGGACGGCGACGGGGACGGCGAUGGGGACGGCGACUGGGGCGGCGGCGACGGCGACGGACGGCGACGGGGGCGGUGACGAGGGGCGGCGACGGGGGCGGCGACGAGGGGCGUCGGCGACGGGGUAGAGGAGAAGAAGCAGAGGGAGAACGAACUGCCGAAUUUUUUUGAAGUGUUUUCUUAUAUAUAGCUCACCUUUAGUACCGGUUGGAGCCACCAACCGGUACUAAAGGUCUGUUUUGGCCAGGCGAAGCGGCGGGAAGCGCACACCUUUAGUACCGGGUGGUGGCACCAACCAGUACUAAAGACCCCCCUUUAGUACCGGUUGGAGCCACGACCCGGUACUAAAGGGGUGCGGUGGCGCAGGUGUGGUGCGGGCAAGUUUAGUCCCACCUCGCUAGCCGAAGGGCGCCCGCACCUGCUUAUAAGCCCCGCUGCAGCAGCUGUCUCGAGCUCCUCUCUAUUGCAGGCCUUGUGGGCCUACCUGUUCUAUGCUGCCCUGUGGGCCUAUUGGGCCUUUGCGGGCCUGCAUCCUGCCCAACAACAGGUCGGGUUUCUAGUCGUAUGCAGGCCGCUGUGGCGCAGUAGGCGGGCUUUUUUAUUUUCUUAUUUUUUUGCUUUAUUUAUUUCUGAGUUGUUUUUUGCUGUAUUUAGAGUUUCUUUGUGAAUAUUUUUUCUUUAGGUACAAAAAAUUACAAACUUUCUAUUAGUGCCGGUAGUUUACAAAUUUGAAUAGUUUACAUUUUGAAUUAUUUGAAAUUUGUGUGAAUCACUAGUUUGUGAAUAACUUAACUUUGAAAAUAGAUUUUCAGUGAUUCUUUUUUCUUAUGUUUAAUAUUAGUGUGCUUUAUCAUUAUAUUCAAUUUGGUAAUGCCUAGGUUAUUUAAAAAAUGAAAUGCCUUUGUAACGGAUGAGUUUUCGUCCGAAACCCUGAUACUUCGAAAGAGAUUGUCCAUUUUAUACACGAAGUGCAUCCAGUUUUUGCGGUAACCCUCUCUACUUUUUUGCACAUGCUAUCUGGGUGAAAUUAUGAUACCAUGCCAACUUUCAACCUUUUCUGAGUUCAUUUGAAAUGCUUUUCAAUUUCAGGGUCAUUUAGCUGAAAAAAUCAGUAAAUGCAUGAAAGAAUUUGUUCGCACAUAAAAUUUCUUCGCGUUUCAAAUGCCAAAACACAUAACUACCCUAACUAUUACAGAGAUUCCCUCGUGGGUGUGAAACACAGAAGAAAGUGAUGAUAGUGAAGCCGAUCACAUCCCAGAUCUUUGGGUGUGAAACUUUUUCUUCGCGUAUGUCCCUUUGCGCCGUAGCCAUGGAAAAUCUUCAUCAUUUAACUGGAUGCUCGGGUCAAUAUUCACUGUGAAUGGAGCAAUUUCAUCAAACUUUUCAUAAUCUUCUAACAUGUCUGUCUUGUCAUCCACUCCCACGAUGUUUCUCUUCCCAGAAAGAACUAUGUGGCGCUUUGGCUCAUCGUAUGAUGCAUCCGCUUCCUUAUCUUAUCUUUUUCUCGGCUUGGUAGACAUAUCCUUCACAUAGAAAACCUGUGCCACAUCAUUAGCUAGGACGAAUGGUUCGUCUGCAUACGCAAGAUUGUUGAGAUCCACUGUUGUCAUUCCAUACUGCGGGUCUUCCAUUACCCCAUAUCGUGUCAUAUUGACCCAUUUGCACCGAAACAAAGGGACCUUCAAACCACGUCCAUAGUCAAGUUCCCAUAUCUCCUCUAUGUAACCAUAAUAUGUUUCCUUUCCCGUCUUGGUUGUUGCAUCAAAGCGGACACCACUGUUUUGGUUGGUGCUCUUCUUAUCUUGGGCGAUCGUGUAAAAUGUAUUACCAUUUAUCUCGUACCCUUUGAAAGUCAUUAUAUUCGAAGAUGGUAACUGGGACAGCGAGUACAGGUCAUCUUCAAUAGAGGCGUCAUGCAUGGUACGUGUCUGCAACCAGCCGGCGAAAUUCCUGGUUUGUUCACGUGUAAUCCAGUCAUCAGACCGCUCCGGGUGUUUGGAGCAUAGAAAAUUCUUGUGUUCGUCCAUAUACGGAGCCACCAAGGCGGAAUUCUGUAUAACUGUGUAGUGUGCUUCAGUGAGAGAAUGUCCAUCCAUACAUAUUUUUUGAUUCCCUCCUAGCGUGCCUUUUCCAUCCAGUCUGCCCUUAUGCCGCGAUUCAGGAACACAAAUCGGCUUAAGGUCAGGAAUAAAGUCAAUACAAAACUCAAUGACCUCCUCAUUUUCAUGGCCCUUGGAGAUGCUUCCUUCUGGCCUAGCACGGUUAUGAACAUAUUUCUUUAAGACUCCCAUGAACCUCUCAAAGGGGAACAUAUUGUGUAGAAAUACAGGACCCAAAACGUUAAUCUCUUCCACUAGUAGGAAAAGGGGCUUUUACCCCGGUUCAUAAGGGCCUUUAGUCCCGGUUCAGGAACCGGGACUAAAGGGUCGUUACUAAUGCCCUAGCCCUUUAGUCCCAGUUCUUACACGAACCGGGACUAAAGGCCGUCCACGUGGCCGGUGCGGGGAGCCCAGGCAGGAGGGCCUUUGGUCCCGGUUGGUGCCACCAACCGGGACCAAUAGGCAUCCACGCGUCAGCACCUGGCAGGAGCUGAGGUUUUUGUUUUUUUUNNNNNNNNNNNNNNNNNNNNNNNNNNNNNNNNNNNNNNNNNNNNNNNNNNNNNNNNNNNNNNNNNNNNNNNNNNNNNNNNNNNNNNNNNNNNNNNNNNNNNNNNNNNNNNNNNNNNNNNNNNNNNNNNNNNNNNNNNNNNNNNNNNNNNNNNNNNNNNNNNNNNNNNNNNNNNNNNNNNNNNNNNNNNNNNNNNNNNNNNNNNNNNNNNNNNNNNNNNNNNNNNNNNNNNNNNNNNNNNNNNNNNNNNNNNNNNNNNNNNNNNNNNNNNNNNNNNNNNNNNNNNNNNNNNNNNNNNNNNNNNNNNNNNNNNNNNNNNNNNNNNNNNNNNAACAUGUGGUGCAUGUCGAAAGUAAUACUAAUCCGGACUUGAUCAAGUUUGGAUUGUACUACUUUCGACACGCACCACAUGCAUGUUGCCUUCACUUCAAUCCAAUCCAUGUUCAUUUCACCCGCUGAUAUAUAAUAACUCUUCAUGCACGCAUCAUGCAUCAUCAUAUAUAAUAACAAGUCCUACUAAUCAUCAUCAUACAACUUCUACUCGUUAUUACUAACAAGUCAUACGAUCAUCAUCCUCACAGUCAUCGAACCAACCCUACUUAAUUGUUCUUAGCACAUGAUCAUCAGUAUUAGGUAGGACCAAAAUACCCUCUUUAAGGUAAAAUAGCAUAAAACAAUAUAGACCCUGACUCUCCAUUAUGGAGAAUGGAGAUCAUCCUGUCUCCAAUUCUUGCGCCUCGCUUCCUUUUGCUUCCAAGAAGCUCCUUGCGACUGUCCAUACAUUUUUUCCAUUCUUUGAUUUGCAUGUCUCCACUUCUUUUAGAAAUCCGGUAUGGACAGUUGAGAUUCGUAGGAUGACCUGGUUGUAUAUUCAAAACAUCAAGCCUACCAUUCAGAUACAUCAAAUGAGGCACACAAUCCUCUGGGAUUAUCUGUUGAAAAACAUAGUAAUAACUUCAUAGUUAGCAAUGAUAAUGCACUAGUUUUAGAACUAUGCAAAAUAUGCACGGAUGUCGUAAUAGUAAGAAAUCUUACCAGGGUAUCUCCAUAGUAGUUACCGUAGUUCACCACGUGCACUAGUGGCACGUAUGGAGGACCAUAAUGAUGAGGAGUUUGAUUGUAGAUAUUGUAAUUCUCAAUAUCAGUACAAAAUCCGACCAGAUGAGUUUUCUCCUUAUAAGUUAACUCAGAGCCAUCGGUGUAGUAGGUUCUGUCUACCAUGUUCCGCACAUUGUUUGAACAAUCAAAAUAACCUGUCAAUGAAAAUAAGCUGUCAACUAUUUUGAAAUGAACAAUAUAAAUUAGCUAAUAACUAUGUUUGAGAAACUCACAUAGCGGUAGAAUUGGAGGCGUAUCAACAAGGACCCAAAUGUCCAUAUUGUCUUGCUCGAUGUCAGGAUCACCAAGAUCCAUGGUGACAAGCAUACCCUCAUCAAAACCAUACAUCUUGCAAAAUGCUUCCCAAUUUUUGCAACCAAAAUGGGUUACGCUCUCAGAAUUAUACAGCUUUACUUCAAAAUCUAUAUCAUGAUGGGUCCUUAGGUGAAUUUUCUUUGUUUCCAUACUUUCAUGGUCUUCAAAACCCAUCCUCUCCAAGACGUAGCGACUUGCAUGGCAUGGGAUAAGCUAGCCGAAUUGUAAAAGAUGAAAAGUACACGUUGAAAUAGUUGAAGUCGUGCUUAAUUACGAAAAAAUAACACUUGUCGUCGUUGCGUACCGUUUCAACAUCGAACGUCUCCUCCAGCUUAAUACUGAAGCGCCGAUCUUCGUCCAGGUGAGGCCUGUCGCACUGACCUCGGUCGUCGUGGCACCAGUCGCACUCCCCCGGGAGACUUUCGUCGUCCGAGUAUGACAUUUCCUAUGUUCAUAUAUAAUUCAAAUAUUAAACAUCUACAAUUAAAUAUAUGUACUAAAAAACCUAAGUUAGAUCAUUAUUAUUCAUCACGGGUUGACUAUCGGUUUGUCGAGUCUUUUCUUGAAAACUCUCAGCUCACGUGGUGUAUACAUUCGACCGUUGGUGAUGGUCGCUCCUCCCUUUGUCCCCGUGUGCAUUACACCAAAAUGUCUAGCUAGCACACGGGAACAAAGGAGAAGCGACCCCCACGACAACAGUCGGGAUUCUUCGUCCUCUCACAUAUAUAUGGUGGAACUCUCCCUCACUGAUUCCUCUCUGACAUUUGCGACCGUCGGUGAUGGUAGCUCCUCCUUUCGUUCUCGAGUGCAUUACACCAAAUUGUCUAGCACACGGGAACGAAGGAGAAGCUACCCCCACGACAACACAGUCGGGAUUCUUCGUCCUCUCAUAUAUGGUGGAGACUCGACAGACUUACAGUCAACCCGAAAUAUCGUUUAAUUAUCUUUCUAAAAGAGGAUUUGGCUGGUCUCACCUCGAUGUCGGAGGGGGCGGUGACGGGGACGACGGCGGGGAUGAUGGAGGGGCCGGGGGGGCUCCUAGAUUUCUGCGAAAACAAAAACCCUAUAAGCUAUCAACUAAUCAUAGUGCUCUCCAAUUUUAGCAUUCAAAGUAGGAUCGGAGUAGUUUUCCACUUUGAGCAUUCAAUAAGCAAAAUCAAAUCACAAAAUAAAGUAGUAUUCAAAUUAGGAUGCAUUCAAUUAUAAGCAAAACUACAUCUUCUCCAUGCGUCCGUACAUCGCCGAAUAUUAUCACUAAUACACCUCGAAUACUAUCAUACAUAUAGCAUCGCUAGUACAGCUAGAACAGUAGCGCCCGACGGACAUCGGCGCGGGCGGUGGACACCCAAAGGGACGGAACCAUCACAGGAUCAUAGCUCCAGUGAGAUCCCUGAAGAACCUGCCAGGUACUGUCGAACCUGCCCUCCAACGCAACCAUGUAGCGACGGACGUGCUGGUCCUCCUCGCUGACAUGGUGACGUACCUCCUCCGCGGUGUCCGGAAGCCUCGGCACCGUCACUGGCCCACGCGAGCGCCACCAAACAAGGAUCGGGUCAACGACGGGCUGGUUCCUCACCAACCUACGCCCACCGGAAGGUAGCACCUCCCAAAACCAGCCCGGCGGAGCCCAGUCCCGGACAUGGCCCCUCUGAUCAAGCCGGCCUCCUCCGCCGAGUCGACGACGAGGAUGCGGGAUAGGCAUCGUCAACGUCGAUGCGGGAAUAAUUGCUUUAACUAAAAAAAACAAACUAGUUCUAUUAAUUUCCUUACUAUAAAUAGAAUAAAGUAGUACUUACUAAAAAUAAACUAGCUAGUUUAACUAGUUCUAUUAUUUUUCUAACUAAUUCUAUUAAACACUUUCUAGGUAGUACUUACUAAAAGUUAUCGGGGAGGGGGGUACAUAUAUCGACAACGACAUACCCGAUAAAAAAUAAGAAGAGGAAGAAGACGCAAAAAAAGAGGAGAAGAAGAAAGGAAUAAAGGAGGAGAUCGAAGAAAAAAAAAGAAAAAAAGAGGAGAAGAAGAAGGAAUAGAGGAGAAGAAGAAGAAAUAGAAUAAUUAUUCUAUUUCUUCUUCUUCUCCUCUAUUCCUUCUUCUUCUACUCUUUUUUUUUCUUCUUUUUCAUCUUCUUAUUUAUUUCUCCUCUACUUCCUCUCCUCUUCUUCUCUUCUUCUCUUCUUCUUCUCCUUCUUAUUNNNNNNNNNNCUCUUUUCACCAGCGCAAAGGGCGGGAAGCAGAGGCCUUUGGUCUCGGUUGGUGGCACCAACCGGGACUAAAGGGGGGGCAUUGGUCCCGGUUGGUGCCACCAACCGGGACCAAAGGCCUUGCGCUGCCCGCGCCCAAAAGUUUAGUCCCACCUCGCUAGUUGAGAGGGGCUCGGAGUGGUUUAUAAGCCCCACUGCGGCUGCCCUCUCGAGCUCCUCUCAAAUGCAGGCUUACAGGCCUAAUGUCACACUGUGCUGUCUGUGGGCCUAUUGGGCCUUCUGCGGGCCUGAAUCCUGGCCCAGGUUGGGUUUCUAGUCGUAUUCAGGCCGUGGUGGCCCAAUAGGUGGCAGUUUUUUAAAUUUUUUGCAUUAUUUAUUUUCUUUUGUUUUUUGCUUUAUUUUUUAAUUCUUUUUGCUUUUAGGUCAGCAAAAUUAUAAACUGUCUGUUAGUGCCAUUAGUUUUAGAAAACAUAUAAACUUUCUAUUAGUGCCAUUAGUUCUUUAUGAAAAUUCUUUUUGCUGUAUUUAGUUUUUUUAUUUUCUUUUUUGCUAUAUUUAUUUUGUUUUAUUUCUACUUACAACAAAAAACUUAUUUAUUUUAUUUUAUUUUGUUUCUAAUUACUUAUUUAUUUUACUUUAUGAUAAUUCUUUCUGCUAUUAAAGUUUCUAUCAAAAAAAGUUCUUUANNNNNNNNNNNNNNNNNNNNNNNNNNNNNNNNNNNNNNNNNNNNNNNNNNNNNNNNNNNNNNNNNNNNNNNNNNNNNNNNNNNNNNNNNNNNNNNNNNNNNNNNNNNNNNNNNNNNNNNNNNNNNNNNNNNNNNNNNNNNNNNNNNNNNNNNNNNNNNNNNNNNNNNNNNNNNNNNNNNNNNNNNNNNNNNNNNNNNNNNNNNNNNNNNNNNNNNNNNNNNNNNNNNNNNNNNNNNNNNNNNNNNNNNNNNNNNNNNNNNNNNNNNNNNNNNNNNNNNNNNNNNNNNNNNNNNNNNNNNNNNNNNNNNNNNNNNNNNNNNNNNNNNNNNNNNNNNNNNNNNNNNNNNNNNNNNNNNNNNNNNNNNNNNNNNNNNNNNNNNNNNNNNNNNNNNNNNNNNNNNNNNNNNNNNNNNNNNNNNNNNNNNNNNNNNNNNNNNNNNNNNNNNNNNNNNNNNNNNNNNNNNNNNNNNNNNNNNNNNNNNNNNNNNNNNNNNNNNNNNNNNNNNNNNNNNNNNNNNNNNNNNNNNNNNNNNNNNNNNNNNNNNNNNNNNNNNNNNNNNNNNNNNNNNNNNNNNNNNNNNNNNNNNNNNNNNNNNNNNNNNNNNNNNNNNNNNNNNNNNNNNNNNNNNNNNNNNNNNNNNNNNNNNNNNNNNNNNNNNNNNNNNNNNNNNNNNNNNNNNNNNNNNNNNNNNNNNNNNNNNNNNNNNNNNNNNNNNNNNNNNNNNNNNNNNNNNNNNNNNNNNNNNNNNNNNNNNNNNNNNNNNNNNNNNNNNNNNNNNNNNNNNNNNNNNNNNNNNNNNNNNNNNNNNNNNNNNNNNNNNNNNNNNNNNNNNNNNNNNNNNNNNNNNNNNNNNNNNNNNNNNNNNNNNNNNNNNNNNNNNNNNNNNNNNNNNNNNNNNNNNNNNNNNNNNNNNNNNNNNNNNNNNNNNNNNNNNNNNNNNNNNNNNNNNNNNNNNNNNNNNNNNNNNNNNNNNNNNNNNNNNNNNNNNNNNNNNNNNNNNNNNNNNNNNNNNNNNNNNNNNNNNNNNNNNNNNNNNNNNNNNNNNNNNNNNNNNNNNNNNNNNNNNNNNNNNNNNNNNNNNNNNNNNNNNNNNNNNNNNNNNNNNNNNNNNNNNNNNNNNNNNNNNNNNNNNNNNNNNNNNNNNNNNNNNNNNNNNNNNNNNNNNNNNNNNNNNNNNNNNNNNNNNNNNNNNNNNNNNNNNNNNNNNNNNNNNNNNNNNNNNNNNNNNNNNNNNNNNNNNNNNNNNNNNNNNNNNNNNNNNNNNNNNNNNNNNNNNNNNNNNNNNNNNNNNNNNNNNNNNNNNNNNNNNNNNNNNNNNNNNNNNNNNNNNNNNNNNNNNNNNNNNNNNNNNNNNNNNNNNNNNNNNNNNNNNNNNNNNNNNNNNNNNNNNNNNNNNNNNNNNNNNNNNNNNNNNNNNNNNNNNNNNNNNNNNNNNNNNNNNNNNNNNNNNNNNNNNNNNNNNNNNNNNNNNNNNNNNNNNNNNNNNNNNNNNNNNNNNNNNNNNNNNNNNNNNNNNNNNNNNNNNNNNNNNNNNNNNNNNNNNNNNNNNNNNNNNNNNNNNNNNNNNNNNNNNNNNNNNNNNNNNNNNNNNNNNNNNNNNNNNNNNNNNNNNNNNNNNNNNNNNNNNNNNNNNNNNNNNNNNNNNNNNNNNNNNNNNNNNNNNNNNNNNNNNNNNNNNNNNNNNNNNNNNNNNNNNNNNNNNNNNNNNNNNNNNNNNNNNNNNNNNNNNNNNNNNNNNNNNNNNNNNNNNNNNNNNNNNNNNNNNNNNNNNNNNNNNNNNNNNNNNNNNNNNNNNNNNNNNNNNNNNNNNNNNNNNNNNNNNNNNNNNNNNNNNNNNNNNNNNNNNNNNNNNNNNNNNNNNNNNNNNNNNNNNNNNNNNNNNNNNNNNNNNNNNNNNNNNNNNNNNNNNNNNNNNNNNNNNNNNNNNNNNNNNNNNNNNNNNNNNNNNNNNNNNNNNNNNNNNNNNNNNNNNNNNNNNNNNNNNNNNNNNNNNNNNNNNNNNNNNNNNNNNNNNNNNNNNNNNNNNNNNNNNNNNNNNNNNNNNNNNNNNNNNNNNNNNNNNNNNNNNNNNNNNNNNNNNNNNNNNNNNNNNNNNNNNNNNNNNNNNNNNNNNNNNNNNNNNNNNNNNNNNNNNNNNNNNNNNNNNNNNNNNNNNNNNNNNNNNNNNNNNNNNNNNNNNNNNNNNNNNNNNNNNNNNNNNNNNNNNNNNNNNNNNNNNNNNNNNNNNNNNNNNNNNNNNNNNNNNNNNNNNNNNNNNNNNNNNNNNNNNNNNNNNNNNNNNNNNNNNNNNNNNNNNNNNNNNNNNNNNNNNNNNNNNNNNNNNNNNNNNNNNNNNNNNNNNNNNNNNNNNNNNNNNNNNNNNNNNNNNNNNNNNNNNNNNNNNNNNNNNNNNNNNNNNNNNNNNNNNNNNNNNNNNNNNNNNNNNNNNNNNNNNNNNNNNNNNNNNNNNNNNNNNNNNNNNNNNNNNNNNNNNNNNNNNNNNNNNNNNNNNNNNNNNNNNNNNNNNNNNNNNNNNNNNNNNNNNNNNNNNNNNNNNNNNNNNNNNNNNNNNNNNNNNNNNNNNNNNNNNNNNNNNNNNNNNNNNNNNNNNNNNNNNNNNNNNNNNNNNNNNCUUAUUUGAACUCCUGACUUUUUGUGUGUUCAAAAUGCACCAUUCAAAGCCACAUCAUCAUUUUUCAAUCCUUUCUGACUUCAUUUGUUAUUUUUCAUCCAUUUACUAAUUAUUUUGAGCUAUAAGACCCUAAAAUUGAAAAGCAUUUCAAAUGAACUCUGAAAAGGUUGAAAGUUGGCAUGAUAUCAUCAUUUCAUCCACAUAGCAUGUGCAAGAAAGUUGAGAGGGUUAUGGCAUAAACGGGAUGCACUUCGUGUACAAAACGGACAAUCUCUUUCAAAGUAUCAGGAUUUCAUCCGGAAACUCGUCUGUUACAAAGGGAUUUUAUUUUUUAAAACUUAUUUGAACUCCUGACUUUUUGUGUGUUCAAAAUGCACCAUUCAAAGCCACAUCAUCAUUUUUCAAUCCUUUCUGACUUCAUUUGUUAUUUUUCAUGCAUUUACUAAUUAUUUUGAGCUACAAGACCCUAAAAUUGAAAAGCAUUUCAAAUGAACUCUGAAAAGGUUGAAAGUUUGGCAUGAUAUCAUCAUUUCAUCCACAUAGCAUGUGCAAGAAAGUUGAGAGGGUUACGGCAUAAACUGGAUGCACUUCGUGUACAAAACGGACAAUCUCUUCCAGACGCAUUUUAUUUUUAUUUAUUUUACUGCUGCUAUUUUUAUUUAUUUUACUGCUGCUAUUUUUACUUAAUUUAUUAAGGUUUAUUUAUUGUAGUUACUAUAGUUUAUUUUAUUUUAUUUUAUUAAGGUUUAUUUAGUUUUAUUUAUUUUAUUAAGGUUUAUUUAUUUUAUAAAUAUAAAAAAAUGAAAAUAGAUGCGCUUAUAGAGAAAAUUCAACCUAAAUUCAUAAUAAAUUUCUAUGAAAUUUACUAUGAAUUUAGGUCAAAUUCCUUGUAUAAGGGCAUCUAUUUUCACUUUAAAAGGCAGAGAGGGACGGGCUUAUAAACUGGUGUGAGCCCCCUUCGGUUGGCGAGGUGGGACUAAACACUGGCCGCGCCCUUUAGUCCCGGUUUGUGGUAUGAACCGGGACUAAAGGGUGGUGGGCCAAGAGCGUGGCCCAUUGGUCCCGGUUUGUACCACCAACCGGGACCAAAGGGUCCAUACGAACCGGGACCAAUGCCCACGAGGCCCCGGACGGCCCCCUGGGCUCACGAACCGGGUCCAAUGCUAACAUUAGUCCCGGUUCGUGACUGAACCGGGGCUAAUGUGAAAACUGCCCUGUGACCUUUGCCCCGUUUUCUACUAGUGUUCGCAUAGGUGAACUAGGACGUGCGUCAUGAUGUUGAAGAAGGAUGGUGGGAACACCAACUCAAAACUGACAAGACAUUGCACCAAAUCAUUCUCUAACCUUGGUAUGAUUUCUGGAUCGAUUACCUUCUGAGAGAUUGCAUUGAGGAAUGCACAUAGCUUCACAAUGGCUAAUCGAACGUUAUCUGGUAGAAGCCCCCUCAAUGCAACCGGAAGCAGAUGCGUCAUAAUCACGUGGCAAUCAUGAGACUUUAGGUUUUGGAACUUUUUCUCUGCCAUGUUUAUUAUUCCCUUUAUAUUCGACGAGAAGCCAGACGGUACCUUAAUACUGAGCAGGCAUUCAAAGAAGAUUUCCUUCUCUUCUUUGGUGAGAGCAUAGCUGGCAUGACCCUGAUGUAUGCCGUCUUUUCCAUGCAUACGUUGCUGGUCCUCCCGUGCCUCAGGUGUAUCUUUUGUCUUCCCAUACAUGCCCAAGAAGCCAAGCAGGGUCACGCAAAGAUUCUUCGUCACGUGCAUCACGUCGAUUGCAGAGCGGACCUCUAGAUCUUUCCAAUAGGGCAGGUCCCAAAAUAUAGAUUUCUUCUUCCACAUGGGUGCGCGUCCGUCAGCGUCAUUCGGAACAGGUUGUCCGCCAGGACCCUUUCCAAAGACUACCUUCAAAUCCUUGACCAUAUCAUGUACAUCAGCACCAAUACGGUGGCGAGGCUUCGUCCGGUGAUCCGCCUCACCUUUGAAAUGCUUGCCUUUCUUUCUUACGGGAUGCCUGCUCGGAAGAAAUCGACGAUGUCCCAGGUACACAUUCUUCCUACAAUUGUCCAAAUAUACUGUCGGUAUCAUCCAAACAGUGCGUGCAUGCGCGGUAUCCCUUGUUUGUCUGUCCUGAAAGGUUACUGAGAGCAGGCCAAUCAUUGAUGGUCACGAACAACAAGGCCUUUAGGUCAAAUUCUUCCCCCAUGUGCUCAUCCCACGCACGUACACUUGUUCCAUUCCACAGCUGUAAGAGUUCUUCAACUAAUGGCCUUAGGUACACAUCAAUGUCGUUGCCGGGUUGCUUAGGGCCUUGGAUGAGCACUGGCAUCAUAAUGAACUUCCGCUUCAUGCACAACCAAGGAGGAAGGUUAUACAAACAUAGAGUCACAGGCCAGGUGCUAUGGUUGCUGCUCUGCUCCCCAAAAGGAUUAAUCCCAUCUGCGCUUAGACCAAACCAUACGUUCCUUGUGUCAUCUGCAAACUCCUUCCCGUACUUUCUCUCAAUUUUUCUCCACUGCGACCCGUCAGCGGGUACUCUCAACUUUCCGUCUUUCUUACGGUCUUCUCUGUGCCAUCGCAUCGCCUUGGCAUGCUGUUUGUUUUGGAACAAACGUUUCAACCGUGGUAUUAUAGGAGCAUACCACAUCACCUUGGCAGGAAUCUUCUUCCUGGGGCGCUCGCCCUCGACAUCACCAGGGUCAUCGCGCCUGAUCUUAUAGCGCAAUGCAACGCAUACCGGGCAAGCGUUCAAAUCCGCGUACUCGCCGCGGUAGAGGAUGCAGUCAUUAGGGCAUGCAUGUAUCUUCUGCACCUCUAACCCUAGAGGGCAGACAGCCUUCUUUGCUUCGUACGUACUCUCGGGCAAUUCGUUGUCCUUUGGAAGCAUAUUCUUUAUCAUUACCAGCAACUUUUCAAAUCCCUUGUCAGAUACACCAUUCUCCGCCUUCCAUUGCAGCAAUUCCAGUGUGGUGCCCAACUUUUUCUUGUCAGCUUCGCAAUUCGGGUACAACAAUUUCUUGUGAUCCUCUAACAUGCGCUGCAACUUCUUCUUCUCCAAAUCACUUGCGCAGUUUCUCUUUGCAUCGGCAAUGGCCCGACCUAGAUCAUCAGCGGGCUCAUCUGAUGCCUCUUCUUCAGCUUCUUCCCGCAUUGCCAGCUCAGCUUCUUCCCCCAUUGUUGUAUCAUCGUAUUCAGGGAACCCAUGGCCAGGAUAGCUGUCGUCGUCCUCUUCUUCUUCAUUGUCUUCCAUCAUAACCCCUCUUUCUCCGUGCUUGGUCCAAACAUUAUAGUGGGGCAUGAAACCGGACUUAAACAGGUGGACGUGAAUGGUUCUUGACGUAGAGUAAUUGUGAUCAUUCUUACAGACUAAACAUGGACAAGGCAUAAAACCAUCCGCCCGCUUGUUUGCCUCAGCCGCAAGCAGAAAAGUUUGCACGCCAUUAAUGAACUCGGGAGAGCAUCGGUCAUCGUACAUCCAUUGUCAGCUCAUCUUCAUUACACAACACCGAAUAGACCAAAUUAAUACAAGUUCAUACAUAAAGUUCAUACAUAAAAUUCAUACAAGACUUAAAUGCAACAACCAAAAAAAACUCUCUAACUAAAGAAUUUAAAUGCAACAACAAAUGCGAUCAAGAUCGCAACUAAGGUAACAAUUGAUCCAACAGCAUAAUGAUACCAAGCCUCAUUAUCAAUGGCAUAUUUUCUAAUCUUUCUAAUCUUCAAGCGCAUUUUCUCCAUCUUGAUCUUGUGAUCAUCGACGACAUCGGCAACAUGCAACUCCAAUUCCAUCUUCUCCCCCUCAAUUAUUUUCAAUUUUUCUUUCAAAUACUCGUUUUCUCUUUCAACUAAAUUUAACCUCUCGACAAUAGGGUCAGUUGGAAUUUCCGGUUCACAAACCUCCUAGACAAAAAUAUCUAUGUCAACUUGAUGGGCAUAAUUUGUCAUAAACACAAAAUGCAACAACUAGUUUUAAAAGAGAAUAUACCACAUCCGAAUCAUAACAAGGACGAGGGCCGACGGGGACGGAUAUCAAAACCAUGGCACUAUGUAUAACAAACAACGUACGGGUAAGAUAAUUAUACGAGUAACUAUAUAUCCAAAUCACACAAACAUCAAUUUGGUAAUGUAAAACAUUCAUGAACAAGAGGCUCACCACAAGGUGGUGCCGGCGACGGAACGGUGCGGGCAAUCGACUGUGGUUACGACGGAGAUUUAGAAGGCACUAAGUAAACCACACCUACAUAUGCAAACUAAGUGUUAGUUUUGACCACAAAUUGCAUAUAAAUCAAAUACUAGCACAUAUAUUUUCUACCAAAUUACUAAACUCAUAAAUUAAUCACUAUACAAAGCAUUGCAAGAGCUAAUCUAGCAAUGAAAGAUGAAAGGACAAAUUUGCUAACCUUUGUGAUCAUUUGAAUGGAUGGGGGCCUUCAAAUCUUGGCAAAUUUUGGGCAAAAUGUGUGAUGAGCUCGAGAGGAAGAGGGGUAGAACAGAGAGGAGACGGGAAAGAGGAAGAACAGAGCAAGCUCGGGUGGACGAAGGGUUUAUGUAGGACGACCUUUAGCACCGGUUCGUGCCAUGAACCGGUACUAAAGGUGCUGGAGGGGCCCCGGACUGACAACAUCCUGCCACCACUCACUUUAGUACCGGUCCGUGGCACGAACCGGUGCUAAAGGUCGGCCACGAACCGGUACUAAUGAAAGCGGCUGGCUAGCCGUUGGAACCGGCACUAAUGCACACAUUAGUGCCGGCUCAAAAGCAAACCGGCACUAAUAUGCUUGACAUUUGACCCUUUUUCUACUAGUGCAGGUUCCGCCUCCGUCUCGGUUGUUGAGAGCCGCCUCCGAGUAGGCGCCCGCGGCACUGAGCCGCCGUACGGGGUCAUCCGAGGUCGACCAGAGCCGCCGCGCCUUCUCCGCAGCUUCGGCCCGCUGAGCCGCCUGGGCUGCUCCAACCAGCCUCCUUCAGCCGCCGCUUCUGCUGAGCCGACUUGUUGCCGCUGCUCUUACUGCUUCCGCCGAGGCCCUGCCCGCAAGCGUGCCCCUGUAACUGCAUGAUUGAGCCGCCCGAGCCAGUCCGGCUUUCGUCGCCACCUUGCUUCGUUUACCACUGUUCCGCUCGGGCUCCCCGCUACAGCGUUGCCCUAUGCACAUGCCGUCGCCUAGACCCCGGCACCUAUCACGCCGACUCAGAUACUGCUGCUUCCCGCAUGCCGGUUCACCGCUGCUGUCAGCUGCUGCUGUCCACGCGCGCCGGCUUACCGCCCGCACCUGGUGUUGGCGCCGCCUCGCGCAGCGCCUCUCUUCUUCUUCCACCUCAAACUGCCUCACACAGCUCUCUCUCUCUCUCUCUCUCUCUCACACACACACACACACACGCACAC
rnacentral:lncRNA from 1 species